GUGGGGGCCCUUUGUGGUUGAGUGGGUGCCCUUUGCUGGACGGGUGCUGACUUAAAAGGAUUUUCAGCACUGGCCGAAAAGCUUGGAUGAUGCUGGGCAUACUGGUAAGUAUCGUGAGGGGUUUGCUAGGGUUCCAACCAAGUAGGAGCCGAGGUCACGACAUGGGCAUCCCCUUCUUUCUUCUUUGCCCCAGUUGCUCCGAGUCUUUUGUUGCUUGUACCGUCAGGGGCGACAUAGUUGAACUUUUCUCUUUUCAGGCCUACUUCGAUCCUCUCGCCCAUAAACACUAGAUCUACGAAGCUAGAGGGCAUGUAGCCCACCAACUUUUCGUAGUAGAACACGGGCAGCGUGUCUAAUAUCAUUGUGAUCAUCUCUCUUUCUACCAUGGGGGUGCCACUUGCACUGCCAAAUCCCUCCACCGUUGGGCAUAUUCCUUAAAUGACUUAUGCUCUCGCUUGCUCAUGUUCUGCAGUUGAGUUCUGUCAGGAGCCAUGUCAGUGUUGUAUUGGUACUGCCUAAUGAAAACAGUAAUCAAAUCUUUCCAUGAGUGGAUGCGAGAAGCCUCCAGAUUGGUAUACCAGAUAACUGUUGUUCCGACCAAACUAUCUUGGAAGAAAUUCAUCAAUAGCUUCUCAUCCCUAGAAUAUGCCCCCAUUUUUCAGAAAUACAUCUUCUGGUGAUUUUUUGGGCAAGUGGUCCCCUUAUAUCUAUCAAAAUCUGGCACCUGGAAUUUUGGAGGGAUGACAACAUCUGGUACUAAACACAAAUCCGUCAUGUCAGUGAACGGGUAAUCACCAAACCCUUAGACAACUCUUAAUCUCUCUUCGAUGAGAUCAAGCUUCUCUCUUCCUUCCAUUUCCGGAGGCGACCCCCCUAUUGAGACAUGCAACGAUUGCAGAGGGCGGGGUUGAGGAGCUUCCGUGGUGUUAGGUUGAGGCAUAACAUUCAAUGUUGUUCCCUCAGAGGUGAAAGGGUUGAAAUCACCUAGAGCAUGCUCCUGAGGUUCUUCACAGGGGCCUCCCAUAGGCUAGGGUUGUUGACCCUCAAAGGUAAUGGGAACAACAUGAUGGGUGUUCUCAUUCAUGGUGGGCGGCGUGUAAUUGGGGGGGUAAGCCGUAUGGGUAAGCAUUCCUAUUGUACCCCAUGUGUCGACCGUCGGUGCUGCCCAACACCUCUCCUCCUUGUCCCACCAUGUCUGGGAUGGGUCGAUGUGCUUGAUUUGUGGCAGACGGAUGGGUAGGAUCUGCCCCAGCGGCGGCCGCUGCGGUCGCGCUGCUUUCCAUUAUUGUCUUCAUGCUUAACAUGGCUUCCAUCAUGGAAGCCAUUUGAUCUUUCAAGGCCAUCAUAUCAGCCUUCAUCUGUUCUUGCACCUCUUCUAUUUCAUCCAUGACUCUAGUCUUAGAACGGGUUUGAUAGAGGUGCCUUAAAGCGUGUUUAGUUAUGGUUUUUUCUCCUAAAAGAACAAAAAUGCGGUGAGUAAUGAAUGCAUGCCAAGGAUAAGUUAUCGAAGUAUUGGAUUCGCAUAGAAUUUUGAGCAAAGGCAUAGGAUUGAACCAAAAUCAUUUUUAUUAAGGAACAAAGAUGUUCAUGUUGUCAAAAUUAAAUCGAAAGUACAAACGCCUUAGCUAUGUGGGCCAUCAAGUUAAUCAUGUGCUGAUAAUAAUCGAGGAGCCCAUGAACUUCCUCAGGGGCCGAGUACAUGUCCGUCAUUGCCUUAGCUUUGGCUAGCAGUCUUGGAAGCUCUUGACUCUCAUUUAAGGUAAAAGAGAACCUAUUCAUCCACAUCAUUGCUUCUCUGUGUAAUGAAUCGAUCACCCUCUCCCUUGCUUCCCUUUCUUCUUGCAGGACUGACACCUUUGCAUACUCAUCCUCUAGUCUUUGCUCAUGGGUUGAAACUAGACUUAGCUUCUCUUUGUAUUGGUCAAUGAUGGCCCACAUGUUUUCUUCGGUCUUGCUCAGUUGCUUAGACAAAUUCCUUUUUGACCUUUGGCAAGCCUUCAACUUGUCUUCCAAUACCAUGCUUUCGACUGGUCUUUCUCGACCCUUUGAGGCUUAAGCUCGUUGUAGCUACCCCAUAGAGCCCCUCAGAACUUGUUUCGUCCCUAUUCUUCCCUUCGAGCCCUCUUUGUUUCCCGCUUCAAAGCUUCAGUGGUGGCCACAUUGACGUCUCUCAGUUCGUUGCAUUCUUUUCGGACCUUGAUGGUUGUCAUUUUGAACUUUUCCUUGACUGCUUGUGCCCUUUCAAGUUCCGCCUUUAGGGCUUGCACCUCCUCACUCUCCUCGGGGGUUUCAACCUCUUCCUCGCUUGAAACCUUUAGCUUCGGGAGCCAAUCCAACUCUUGGGUCCGAGCCUUCAUCCACUUAUAAUAGCCGUCGAUGAUCCCAUUGCUACUUCCCCUAAGCUCUUUAUCUUUCCUUUGCACCGUGCCCCACGCUUUGCGGACUCCUUGAAGUAUCCUCGCAUUGGGGUCACUGAACCUUGUGCGAUGAAAGGCGUGAUGCUUUCCUUCGACGGCGCUCCUCUCAUGGGGUAGCCAAGUUGUCUUAUGGCAAGGACGAGAUUAUAAUUGAUACAACCCCUCGUUCCCAUCAAGGGAACAUUUGAGAAUCCUUCACAUGAGGACAAAAUCCUGGCUUUUCCUUCCUUCCAUCGGGGGAGCCAAUUAAUGGAUGCCCCUACCACACUAGCUAAGAGUUGCUCCCAGUUUUCCUUCCCUUUCUCGGCGCACAAGCGGUGACCUUGUAGGGGACAGGCAGGUCUACUUUCAUGGCGAAAGAGGUGCAAAACUAGUCACACAUAAAGAGCUAGUGUGCACCAAACAAUCCUUGUGCCACUCUUUUUGCAUCUUCGGUCGAAGGUGUCAUAGACAUCGGCCAAAAUAGCAAUAGUGCCACGACAUCAAUGAACAAAGCCCAUUCACCUUGAUCCGUCAAUGUCUUUGCCUUUUCCUCCAAAUACUUCCUUGGUAUUCCGACUAUUCUGUUUCUGUUUUGUUUCACUCGGUCCAACUCUUGUGCCGAGAUUCUGACUACCUUGGCUAUUCUCGCCAUGGAGGUAUAGAACCCAGAAAAGAGAUAUGGCUUUCUUCCUCUUAGCAAACAUCCCAAAAUCUCUUCAAACUUUGAUGAUAUUAGAAGUUGGAAAAUAAUCUAUGGGCACUUAAUGGUAUGUUUAGUUGAGAGAAUAAAAUGAAAGAAAAGAAAGAAUAUAAAUAAAAAGUGAGAUGAUUUUGUAUGAUGUUCGGUGGGAAAGAAAGAUAGUUAUCAUAUAAAUAUCCAGAAUUAAUAUAAAAGAAGUAUACACAAAUAAGGAUAUUAUUAGUCAUUUAGAACAUAAUAUCAUUUUUCUCUAUCGCUUGGUUCCAUUUUGGGCGGAAGACUAAACCUUUAGUUUCACCCACUCUUUAAUCCUUUCUCCUUACGUAUUCACGAAUCAAACAAUGGAAGAAGGGUGAAUUAACUUUAUUUUCUUCCUCUCCUCCCACUUUUUCCUUUGACUUUCUAGUCUACCAUACUUUAGGGAAAUCAACGCCCCCAUAAAUAAAAUUACUCAUACCCACAAAGAAUUGUGAGGACAUACACAAAGAUUAUACCGUAGAAAAAAUAAUAACAAACACAAAAAUUUAACGUGGUUCAGCACCUCUUGCCUACAUUCACGAAACUGACUCGAAGUAUUUCACAAUCACAAAAAUGAUUACAAGAUUGUAACUCACCCCAAAUAGUGUAUCACCACUACUAUAAUUUAUAGAUUUAAUAUCGCAUGAUUAACAUUGGUUUUUCAACAAACCGAUGUUAAUAAGAGCACGGUGACAUUUUCAUAAAUAAAUUGAGUUAAUUCACAUCGAUUUUGAAAAAACCGAUCUUAACUAGUUGAUGUUAACUUCGAUUUUUUAAAAACCCGAUGUUAACAUUAAUUCUUUAACAUCAGUUUAUCUAAAACCGAUGUUAAGUUUAGAAGGUUAACAUCGGUUAUUGAAAAAUCGAUGUUAACAUCAACUAGUUAACAUUGUUUUUUUUAAAAAAAAAAACCGAUGUUGUAUCAUUCAUAAAUUAAAAUCCCAAAUCCUUUUCUCCCUGUGCGCUCAGUCUCGCAAACCUUUUAUCCCUAUCACGACACUGUUGCAUUUUGCAACACUGACAUCUCCUUGUCACAACACUACAUUUUGUGACCUGUCACCGUCGUUUCGUGUCACCAUCGGUGCCGCUCAACCUGGAACUGCUCUGCGAGUUAGGGUGGUCACUGCUACCGUGAGAUUGAGGUACGUGGUUGCUUCUUUUUGCUUGUAAUUGUGGAAGAAAAUAUGCAUCUUGCUUGUAAUUGUUGGGUCGUUUUGUUUUUAUGUUUGCUUGUAAUUGGGUUUGUUGAGGAGUUUCACAUUUGGAGUUGAGAACAUUAUAACUGAGUUGAGAACAUGAUUAUAUAUUGGUUCUAUAUUUCACACAAUGAUUUAUUGAACUUAUAGAAAGCGUAAACUAAAAUGACAAUAAGAAUCUUAUGUUAGACAAAUUUGUUCCAAAAAUGUAUGGGCUGCAUGAAUGGAUUCACGUGUAAGUUAGUUUAUUCUAAGGAUUCAAAAGGUGACUUUCUAUAGUUCUACUAUUCAAUGGGUCCCUAUUUUGUUCUGUCUUUAUCUUCAAAUUGAGGAACAGAAGCAUAAAGGUAGUGUCUAAAAGCAUUUUGUCUAGUAAGGUAAAUAUGGGUUAGUCCUUUCAUGGUUUUGUCUGGCUACUGAGUAUUGAUAUCUUGAACCAGAAAAUCAUUAGUUUGGCAAUUAACAAAUCUUGGGUUAGUCCUUUCAUGGUUUUGUCUAAAAGCUUUCUCUGGUCUACAAGAGCACAAUCAUCCUCUUAUACUUCUUAUACAAAUUGGGAACACGUUAUGCAAACUCUCAGGUGGUCGUCUCAAACCAAGAAAGAAUGGUAAGAUAUUGCUUUUUUUUUUUUAAUAUAAUAGUCCGAAAAUAGCAGCUCGUGAUUAUCUCAAUGUACAUUUUUGUGGGAUUAUAUGAUGUUCAUAGAAAUUGAGGGCUUGAAGAGAAAGUUGACUAGCAAGCUUUGUGCCUGACUGACAGGGUAUUAUUACUUUUUAUUGUUAAAUUUGGCAGUUGGUGACUAUCUGCGUGUUUAUUGUUGUCAUUUGCAUGUAUCCUUGGAAAACUACAGAUAUGUGAGUGUGUAGCAAUCUGGUGGAGGCCAAAUUUUGAAGUGGGGCUCUUCUUUUAUUAAAGUACACUACUAAGCCGCAAUACAAGUUUUCAAAUUUCUUCAAAAAGAACUAACUAUUGAGCAAUAGGAACUGGUUUUUGUCAUCGGCUCUGGGAUUUGAGUUUCUUUUUCUUUUGAUUUUCCUAACAUAUCUACUUGUUGACAGAUUAUUUGGCUUCCAGAUUGGUGAUUCUAUUUUUUUUUCCUGGUAAUUUCAUUUCAUUUGCAUAGAAAAAACAUAAACUAUCUCUAUCACAUUUGUCAAAAUUUUCCUCCCAUUAUCUUUGUUUCUUGCAAAGCUUUCAUAGUACAAUAGGUAUCUUUUCACUAGCAUUGGUUUUGAGGCUUUAUGCAAUGAGUACCAAAGGCUAAGGUGGAUAGCAGAACACCUGUGAAAACCACAUGGUAAUAGACUAGAAUCAUGAAGAAUCUUCUUUCAAACCACAGAUUGUUUAGUAACAAUAUUGUUGUAGGUACUAGGUAGUGAAUCAGAAAGUGGUAUCAUUAUGUUGUUUUUUAUUUAGCACCACCAUUCCUUCGCUAACAAUACUGUCAUUGACUCGCUAACAAUAUUGUUCAAUACUAGGUAGAUGUGACAAAUAAAUUAUGCACUGUCGUUCCUUCGCAAACAAUAUUGUUCAAUACUAGGUAGAUGUGACAAAUAAAUUAUGCACUGCCAUUCCUUCAAACCCCAGACAAUUCAAUAACAAUAACAAUACUAUUGUAGGUACUAGGUAGUGAAUCUUAUAUAUUGUUGUAGAUGUGACAAAUAAAUUGAAGGUUAGUGAAGGAAUGGCAGUGAUGAUAAUGCGGUGGGAAACAUAGGUUGAAAAUGGAAAGACAAAAAACAAUAUUGUUGCAUCUUUGGUGAAAUGCUCAAACAAUGGUGAAAUACUCUCCACCUUCAGCAACAACAAUGGUGAAAUGAUCAAACUAGUCUCCUUUGUUAUUAUGUUUCUCUAAUCUUCCUCAAAUAUUUGAUCCCAAAAUUCCUCCGUCUUUGGUGAUGCAUAUUGGGGAAAAUCCAUAAGUAGGAAUUACAAACCACUUAGUCCAAGAUAACUGUACUUUAUAUUCUUUCAUCACUCAUAUUUUGGUCAUUGCCCAGUCUUGGAUGGAACAACACAUACUUAGACAUCCUCCUAUUACUCUUAAACUAACACUUUAUGGUUUUUCAUAGUUAAAUUAUCAAAUAGAGGAAUCUCUAAUAAACUCAUUUUUACCAAAUCAAAGGAAAUAAUCACAAAAACCCUUUUAUACAUAGAGAAAACCAACCAAUGAAGAGCCUCAUUGAAGAGUAACUCAAUACUGAAUUUCCAUUCCAAAUUAGAAUAAUAUGGAACAUUAAUUUCUAUCUUGUCUCUGUUUCAUGGAUUAGUUUUGAAUGGGCCUUGUUUUUGUCAACUUUGAAACCCAAUACUCUCGAUAAAUAUUCUAUCUUGUCUUUAUUCCAGGGAUUAAUUUCAAUGUGUUGCUGCUCUAAUUUGACCGACUAAGAGAGUUAAUAUAUAGUAUGUAAGGAGAUUUGAUAACCAUUAAUUUAACUAUAACAUUCAAUUCAAGCAAGGAUCUAAACUCAAAAAUUAACAAGAUACAAAUGUUGUUCAAGUAAAACAAUAUCUCCAAUGACAUUAAGAAAAAUAAAAUAAUUUACUGGACUAUUGCAUGCAUUAUGAUGCUUGUAUCUUCAUAUUCUUAAAUUGCAUGAGCUACUAUUAGCUUCUUCUAAUAGGGUACGCGAUGUAUUGUAUAGUUGAGUCAUCUAUUUGCUAUUUAUAUAUGGACAUAUGCAUGAAGCAUUACCAUAAGUCAGAGACUGAAGGCAAGACCUUUUUCCCUCUUGUCCCAUACGGUAUCAUUGAUUCUAUCUCAAUAUUGGAGGUGGAAUAAUUAACUUUGUCUCUUCAUACUAUAAUCCUACAUUUGCUAAUAAACUUAUCAAAGAAAUUUACAUAUCUAGUCCAUAAACUUCGAACCUCAGCUAAACCAAUUUCAAGCCACGACUUUGCUGGGCCAUUGAAAUGAACAAUAGCAGCAAUUUCCACUCUCUCUGUUUCAAUCUUCAGCACCUCUAAAUUUUUUUACAGUUAUCCAAUAUUUAAUGUAAUAUGGACUUACUUUUUGCCGCAAUAUGUUUUUCUUAUACAAUGGAAAUUCCUGGCAGUGAAUGUCCUUAUUGAAGGCCUAUCUCUGAACAUUCCUAUUGAUGUUGUAAGUUUGUAAAGGAAAGUCAUGAGUCACUAUUUUUCACUCGUUUCUUUUCAUGGGAUCACAAAAAACCAAUUGUAAUUUGUAAGUUUUCUGAGUUUUUUCUCUUCAAAAUUAUAAAUAUUGAUUAACAUAGUGCGCCCCAGGAUAGUGGCGGACCUUUUAGGCAAUAUGUUUUUCUUAUACAAUGGAAAUUUCUAGCAGUGAAUGUCCUUAUUGAAGGCCUAUCUCUGAACAUUCCUAUUGAUGUUGUAAGUUUGUAAAGGAAAGUCAUAAGUCACUAUUUUUCACUCGUUUCUUUUCAUGGGAUCACAUAAAAUCAAUUUUAAUUUGAAAGUUUUCUGAGUUUUUUCUCUUCAAAAUUAUAAAUAUUGAUUGUCAUAGUGCGCCCCAGGAUAGUGGUGGACCUUUUAAGCAAUCACUGCCCCUACUUUCCCAAAAAAUAUAGAUUGUUUGUAGAGCACCCUACAAGAAUUAUAUAUACCGGGCGUUGAUUCUCAUGCAAAUGUAAGGUAGGUUAAGUUGAUUUGUUAGUUUAGGCAAGAAUUAUUUUGCAAUGCAUGCUCAAAUAUUAUGCUUACUAGUUUUCUAUUUUUAUUUUCAUUUAUUCUUUGAUGUACAUAAUCCUUUCUUCAACAUGCUUGCUAAAUAUUUAUUCUUUUAUGAGUAUACAAUGAGAAAUAUACAAGAAAUUGUAGUGGAAUUUCACUACAUGAUGCAUAUUAUUUAAUUAUACAACAUCCUAAAUGUAACUCAUAAUGACUCAGCUUCUAGUAAAAAAGCUAUCUAGUUGUUCAUUGCAAGACCUAGAAAGAGUGCAUUUGUGAUUGCACAAAUGACAAGCUAGCACAUAAACUGCCUGUUCAAUAUAAACUGCAUGUUCCAUAUCCAUAUUUACGCCCAUCAACUUCCAUCCUUUUCUUUUUCCUGUUCUUAGACGUAUAUGAAUUGACUGACAAUUGAUGUGUUGGACCACUUUUUUGUGAAUGGUUGCUUUAGUCUAAACCCAUGUUGCAUCUUACAUCAAACCAACUAUAUUCAUCGCAAACUCUGAUCUUUGGUGAUAACACUUCAAGAUUUUAUCCUUCUUCUAAGUCUAAUCUUUGGUAACAACAUUCUUAAGCUUUUGUAGGAUUUAAAGUAUAAGAGACAAGAAGAUGAAAGGGAACUGAUAAUUUUAUUGAGCAUAAACAGCAAAUAUUUAUACUACAAAUUAAAAACAAAAAUGUAAACAAACUUGAGAGAUAUCUGCUAAGCUAAUUAACUAAACCAUGCAUAAAAUCCUCCUAAAAUAUAGCAUAGGAACAUGUCUUUAUUUAACUUAUUUGACUCCUUCAACCAUAUGCUGUUGGAGUCACAAAAUCCCAACAAUCUCCUCCUUGACUCAACGGCAACAUACACCAAGUUUUUGUCGAAGAUACUCAAAUCUUGCUUGAGGAAGUGAUUUUGUUAAAAAAUCAGCAAGUUGAUUUUCAGUUUUGCAAUAUAGCAGCUGCACGUCACCUUGCUUUUGCACCUCCCUUAGGAAAUACAACUUUAUCUUAAAAUGUUUUGUUUUCCCAUGAAACACAGGGUUCUUAGAAAUUGAAAUUGCAGCUUGAUUAUCAACAAGAACCUGUGUACUCUCCUUUUGCUCCAUGUGUAGAUCAGCCAUAAGUUUUCUAAGCCAAAUUGCUUGAUUUGCAGCUGCAACAGCUGCUACGUAUUCGGCUUCAGCGGUAGAUUGUGCUAUGACAUCUUGCUUCUUUGAACACCAUGAAAAAACUCAAGAACCAAAUGUGAAACAGUAGCCUGAAGUGCUUUUCAUGUCAUCAUUACUCCCAGCCCAAUCACUAUCUGAAUAUCCAUAAAGACUGAAAUCUUUUACUGGCUGAAACUUCACUCCAUAACCAAUAGUACCGUUGAUAUAUCUCAGGAUUCUUUUAGCUGCCUUAAAAUGAAUCUCACUAGCACAGUGCAUAUAUCGUGACAGCAAGCUUACUGCAUAGGUAAUGUCUGGCCUGGUUGCAGUCAAAUACAUCAGACAUCCUAUUAAGCUUCUGUACAGUUUUUCAUCAACCUUUUCAGCUCCAUCUUCAUUGCUGAAUUUCUCCUUUUGAUUCAUUGGCGUUGCAAUUGGCUUGCAUUCCUCCAUCUUGAACUUUGUAAGAAUUUCCUUUGCAUAUUUUUCUUGACUUACAAAGACUUCACCUCUAUCUUGUUGCACCUGCAUACCAAGGAAAAAUGACAUUUUUCCAAGAUCAGUCAUUUCAAAGGCUUCUUUCAUUCCUCCUUUAAACUCUUCAAUCAGCUCCUUUGACCUUCCUGUCAUAAGUAAGUCAUCAACAUACAAGGAAACAAUGACUAUUCCAACAUCUGUCUUCUUGACAUACAAGGUAAACUCACUUAGACAUUUUUCAAAGCCUAAGCUUAUCAAAUGUGCAUCAAUUCUGCCAUACCAAGACCUUGGGGCCUGCUUUAAGCCAUACAAGGCCUUUUUCAGCCGAUAAACUUUCUCCUCCUGUCCAUGAACUACAAAUCCUUCAGGCUGCUCUACAAAAAUUUCUUCUUCCAAGUGCCCAUUCAAAAAGGCUGAUUUAACAUCCAUGUGAUGUAUAAUCCAACCUUUUUGUGCAGCAAGAGCUAACAACAGCCUUAUGGUAUCCAACCUGGCAACCGGAGAAAAAGUUUUUGAGAAGUCUACCCCGAACAUUUGCGCAUAUCCCUUCACAACAAGCCUCGCCUUAUGUUUGUUUACAGAACCAUCAGCAUUAAGCUUGGUUCUAUAAACCCAUUUCACUCCAAUGACAUUUUUAUCUUUAGGUUUCUCCGUGAGCUCCCAUGUUUGAUGUUUUUCAAUCAUAUCAAGCUCCUCCUUCAUUGCACUUACCCACUUCGAAUCAGUUGUAGCUUCAUUGUAGUCUACAGGCUCCAUUACAGCAACAUUACAUCUUUGAUAAAUAUUAGAGAGAGAUCUAGUUCCUCUAACUGGCUAGUCAUCCACAUCUUCUUCGCUCUCCUCCUGAACUUGAAGCUUCUCACUUUCCUUGCUCCAUUUUUCUUCUUCAAAGAAUAGCACAUCUCUGCUAACAAUAACUUUAUUACUUUGUGGCAAGAAUAUUCUAUAGGCUUUUGAUGUUGAGCUAUAGCCUACAAAGAUUCCCGCUUCCGCCUUUUUAUCAAGUUUGUCUCUCUUAACCUGUGGAAUAUAAGAGAAACACAAGCAGCCAAAGAUUUUCAAGUUCAUCAAUUUGGUUUGAAACCAUACCAAGCUUCAAAUGGGGUCGAUUUUGAAAGAGCUUUUGUUGGCAAUCUGUUCAGCAAAAAAACAGAAGUGCUUGCAGCCUCUGCCCAGAAUUUUUUUGGAAGAUCUUUGUCAUGAAGUAAACAUCUUGCCAUUUCCAAGAUCGUUCUGUUUUUGCACUCCACAACCCCAUUUUGCUGUGGGGUAUACGGUGUUGUCAAUUGAUGUUCUAUCCCUGCAUCUUCACAAAACUUGCUGAACUUAUCAGAAGUAUAUUCUGUACCAUUAUCAGAUCUUAAUAUCUGCAUUUUUCUUUCACUUUGAUUUUCAACCCAUGCUUUAAACUUGUAAAAUAUGAUGGCAACCUCAGUUUUGUUUUUCAUGAAAUAAAUCCAACACAUUCUUGAAAAAUCAUCAAUAAAAGCAAUAUAGUACUUACUGCCAUUCAGAAAUGAGGUUUUCUAAGGUCCUCUGACAUCCGUAUGUACUAACUGUAGCUUGCUUAUUGCUCUCCAAGAUUUGCCUUUUGGAAAAGACAACCUCAUUUGUUUUCCAUAUUGACAAGCAGCACAUACAGGUGAUUUGUCUUCCAAUUCAGGCAGCCCUUGUACAAGAUCAUUCUUCCUCAAAUAGAGCAAAGCGCCAUGACGAAAAUGACCCAUCCUUUUAUGCCAAACCAGCAUGUUGUCUUCAACCUUGUGCACAGCAAGCUGCUCUUCAUCAAUCAAAUUCAAGGCAAAGCUUUUGCCUUUCAUUUGAACUCUGAAUAAUUCUUUAUUAUCUGAAUCUUUAAUCAUGCAACUUUUAUCUUCAAAUAGAACUUUAUAGCCUUUCUCUAGAAGUUGGCCGACACUCAACAAGUUUUGGUUAAUUUCAGGAACGUAUAGAACAUCAGGAAUUAAUUUCAGACCUGUGCAACCCUCGAUCACGAUGGUUCCUUUUCCCUUCACUGCUAUUUUUUCUCCGUUUCCAAUUCUGACAUUUGUGUUGUAGAUUGCAUCAAGAUCUUUGAAUAAUUCUUGAUCGUAAGUUAUGUGGUUCGUGCACCCACUGUCAAUUAGCCAACUUUCUGUUGAUCUUGCGAUAGCAAAGCAAGAAACAACAAAAAGUUCUUCUUCAUCCACCUCUUCAACAGCAGCUUGUACAUUCUCUUGUUUUUGUGAUGACUUGCAGAUUUUCUCCACAUGCCCUAAUAGUCCACAUUUAUGGCAUUUCACUUCUGGCCUCCACCAACACUUUGUCUGUGGAUGAUUGUUUUUUUUACAAAAAGGACAUGAUGGAAAAUCAUGAGAGGAUUUGCUACCAUUUUUGUGGUUGAAACUUCCUGACUUGCCCUUCUUUUUUUUGUCCAGUGAUUUAGCUACCAAAGCCCCUUCAGUAGUACCUUCUUGUCUCAUGAGUCUUCUUUGUUCUGGAGCCUGAAGUGCGGUCAAAAGCUCUGCCAAGGUGAUAGUAGAAAGAUCUUUUGAGUUCUCCAAGGAAGUCAAUGUGGCUUCAUAUUUUUCUGGAAUUGUUACAAGUAUUUUUUGAACAAUUCGAGAGUCAGGAAUUUCAGUGCCAAGAAGACGUAUUUUGUUUGCAAUGCCAAGGAGCUUGUCCGCAUAAUCUUUGAUUGUCUCCAAAUCUUUCAUCCUCUGCAUCUCAAGUUCUCGAAUCAGAUUCAAAGCUUGCAUUCCUUUGAUUUUCUCACUGCCUUCAUACUCUUCCUUCAAAAAAUUCCAGAUUUUGUGUGCCGUUUUCAUCGUCAUUAUUCUGUUGAAAAUGACUAGAGAUACAGCUGUGAACAAAAUUGAUUUAGCUUUGGACUUUCGAAGCCUCCUUUCUUUGUGACUUUUCAUUUGGGCAACAGUGGGAUUAUUUGGCAAAGGAAGAACUUCGUAUUCCUCUUCUACUGCUUCCCAUACAUUGUUAGCAUCAAGAUAUGCUUCCAUUUUGACAGCCCGCAUUUGAUAGUUUAGUCCAUCAAAUACGGGUACAGAAAUGGUAGUAAAGGAGGUUUCAGAUUCCAUCUUAUGUGUGGUGGCUAUUUGGUGGUUGUAGGUGUUUGUGGGUUAUAUCACAGAUCCCGUAAGAUACCUUAUUGCUCUAGAUACCAAUUUGUAGGAUUUAAAGUAUAAGAGACAAGAAGAUGAAAGGGAACUGAUAAUUUUAUUGAGCAUAAACAGCAAAUAUUUAUACUACAAAUUAAAAAAAGAAAUGUAAACAAACUUGAGAGAUAUCUGCUAAGCUAAUUAACUAAACCAUGCAUAAAAUCCUCCUAAAAUAUAGCAUAGGAACAUGUCUUUAUUUAACUGAUUUGACUCCUUCAACCAUAUGCUGUUGGAGUCACAAAAUCCCAACAGCUUUUCAUCCUUUUAUACAGAACUAGGAUGGUUUAAUUUGCAAUGUCAUUCAUAAUUGGCAAAUCAUCAGCAACAGUGAUGAGCUUUUGUUGCUUAGGUUUUGAUCGUGGUUUAAUCCUACCUACUUGCAUUGGCUUGAAUUUGGAAUGUCUUUUCCCUGUUGUCUGACUCUUUUAUGCUUGGCAUGGGAUCAAAUGUGAUUGAUGCAUCUUAAAGUUCAUAGAACAUAUGCAUAACAAAGAAGAGUGAAACUCUAGAGCUUUAAUUGUCCAAUCUGGUUCAGUUAAAUGAAGACACGUUUAUUUAAUAUUUCGAAAUGUAGGUUUUCGUACUCCAUAAUGGUUAUUCUAGAAACAUAUCCUAUUCCAAAAUAGGCGAUAGGACCUCCCUUCCUUCUUUAAACUUGAACCCGAGCCGUCAUACCGAUGUGUGCCUUGUCUACACCUCUGCACCAUCGUGCACCACCUUCUCACCAAGCCCAACCACCACCAUUGUCAUUCUAACAUAGUUUCCAGGACCCGCCCCCCCUCCUUCACUAUUGUCCAUCUCCUAACUCUUCUCAACAAGCCCAGCCACCACCAUCAACGACCGCAACAUCACCGCCAAGAGGACAAUGACACCACGUUUGUAUUGGAUGGUAAAAGAGGACAACAACACAAGAUUUGGAUGCCUGAACCUUGGGCGAUGCCGCAUUCAUAUUCCAAAAGAGAGAAUGCUUGGGUAGCAUAGGAAAGAGGGAGAGGUGUUAGGGCUGAGGGUAUUUUUGGCCAUUGAAGCUUUUUGAAAGGUGUAGGAUUCAUAUUAGGAGGUGCAAUAUACAAAUGCCAAGGAUUCUUGCAUGAAAGGUGAUUUGGUCCAGCAUCAUCCUCCUUUUUCUUCUUCAACCCUACCCUUCAUCAGCGACUUGAAUUAUUUACUCUAUUAUCUAAAGUGAAUUCCUGACCACAGUGAAGCCCAAUCCAUUCUUUUAAAACUGCUCUCAAAAUUUCAUCAAAUAACUUUUAUUUCUGAAAAAAGGUUUUCAAAUAUACUUUCUAAAAUAGCUUUGAACACAAAAAAAAAAAAAAGACACUCAACCACACACUAUGUAAUCCUGAUCAGAAAUAUCUUUCCUAAAAUAAAUGUCACUAAUCUUUUUUAUCAUUGCCCCCUACAAAUAUGUAGUCAGUUCAGGCUUGAUCCUCCCUUGCACUCCUCGAGCCAUUUACAGAAACAAUGGAGGGCAUCCCUCAUCCAUGCAUGUCAACAGUUUGCUAGUGCCUCUGAUACAGCCAGCCAACUCCUUUUUCUGGUGCUUUGCUCAGGCCAUGACUCAAGUUCCUCUUUCACAAACAAUGCAAACAUUGCUGCUUUGCAUAAACCUUCUGGACUACACUCAUCUUGGAGGGUCUUACUCCUAAAUUCAUAGUUCCCAAGAAAAUCUUGAAACCAAGUAACCUAAAUAUUAAUCAUCAGUUUGCAUUCAUCCAUCCAAAUGAAAACACAAAAAUGCAACAUAAAAACAUCCAGCAGCCUCGGAUUCAGUUAAAUUGAAAAAAAUCAAGAGACAAGGGUAUUUGAAGGACAGCAAUUUUUCAAGAACCCACCAAACUCAUCAUAGAUGACUUCAAAACCAAUGCAAUACCACUGACUUUUGCUCAAAAUGAAGCAGCAAAUGAGUCAAUUAUGUGCUAAUGUUCUAUAUUAUUUUAGGUACAAAUUUUGCUAACUUUUUCCCUAAUUCUUGUUUCUUACAUGUUAAUGUGGCCUCAACUGGUUGCAAAUAGAUGCAAAGUUAACUCAAAUUAUUUAUCUUUUAGGAAAAUUUUGUAGUCAUCUUCUGGUUUUCAUAUAUGACGAUGUGAGAACAUGAUUUGGUUUUCACAUAAGCUUCCUAGACUCCUCCAAGAAGUUCACAUGUAACACAUGACAAUGUUACAGAAGAAAAUGUUAAAUUAAUUCAAUUAAGUGGAGAAGCUUUUUACCAUUAGGUCUCCUCGAACUCCUGCUUCUUCAAUAGCUUCUCUAACUGCAGCCUCCUCAACAGUUUCAUCAUUCUCCCAACCUCCCUUUAAUAGCAAAGCAAAAUCAAUUAAAUCAGAAAAUGAGAUCUCAAAUCAGAAGCCACUCAAAAAAGAAUUUACAGCUGAUGUCAAUGACAUUAAUUAAGAAAAACAAAUCCUUCCUUGCUAUGAAGUUGCAGACAAUUUUACUGUGAAUCAGUAAAAUCUUUUUCAACAGCAUAUUGAUCAAUUUAAUAAAGGUGUCUCAUUGAUAUCUUCAAUAUAGGUUGUUACAACAAAUUUACAAUAAGUGACAAGAAUUAUUCAAGAGCCUAAAACUUGGCCUUUAAGUGUGCAAUAUAAGGCACCUGAUUUCUUGUAUUGUUUAAAUUAGGACAGAAAUUUCUGAAUCUUAUUCGCUUGGUAUAUCUCUCAAAUUAGUGGAGUCACCAAUGAAAUGUCUCUGAACAUUGAAGUUCUCUUAAAGAUAUGCCUGAUGCCUAAAGGUUGAAAGCAGGGUGGGUUCUCCUGAAAACAUGCAAACUGGUUAUGACAGCUACCUACAUGCCACCCACACAUUCACAAGGUGAACUUAAACCAUUUAUGCACAUGACAAGAACUGUCUGUAUUGCAUUAAAUAUGUGAAACAGCAAGAUAUUAGUCCAAAGUAUAUUCCAUAUAGAUAUUUGAACAAAACAUUAGUUUACUAUGAGAAAACAAUUCUAGUUUAAAUAUCCUUUUUUUUUUAUCAUUAGGCUCAAAUCGACCAGCGUCAUGCCAUGAAUAUCAAAAUUGAGUUGCUCCAGCCUAAUAACUAAAUGGGCUACGGUUCCCUCCUAAUUUUUGGGUUCAUUCCUCAUCACUCCAGCCGGGCUUUUCUUUCUGCAGCGUGACUUUUUCUUCUACACCUAGCAGUUAGAGUGAAAUUCUGAAAACACCCUUCCAUAAGGCUCAUACAAAUUGGCACAAGACUCGAACCUGUGGCUUUUAUGUUAUUAGGAUGACGGUCUAAUGAACUGAAUUAAUAGGUUAAUUAUGUUAUAAAAUAAUUAAUAUUGUUAUAUAUAACACUAAAAAUUUUAAUAUAUAUUUAAUACACAUAUAAUUUUACAUAAUAAAUUUUGUCAUAAUUAAUUUUGAUCUAAUAAUUAAUUUUUUUGACAUAUAUAAAUUUUUAUUGAAAUUUUAUAUAUGUAAAAAAUGCAUUAUUAGAUCAAAAUUAAUUGUAAUAAGACAAAAAUAAAAAAACUACAUAAUUUAAUAAUUAUAAAAAAACUAAAUAAAUUUAUUAAAAAAAUAAAAAAAAAAAAUAUUUUUAAAAAUUUUAAAAAAAAUAGGGAAUAUGAAUUUGCAAUCCGUAUAAAUCAUAUGGAUUGUGAAUCUUUAUGUUUAUUAGCAGAGAUAAUUUUAGAAAAUUAAAAAAAGUAUUAGGUAUAGAAGAAAAAGCCACGGUGCAGGAAGAAAAGCCCCCUCUAGCGUAAUAUUUUUUGUAUGGAUUGAACCCAUUCUAUCAACCAAUCAUGGAAAUUGCUAUUGGACCCAAUACAAUUGUUAAUGGUCCCUAACAAGGGGUGAAACUUUUUUUUUUUGGAAAUGGCCUUGGCAUAGAAAUAGGUUUCUUGUGUAUAAUCGCAUACAAAAUUCAUAAUGAAAACUUGUUUCCAUUGUAGUAUAUGGGGUGCAAACAAAAUCUAUAACAGAAACAUAUUUACAAAAUCUACAAUAAAAACAUGUUUAGGUUGUAGAUUUUGUACACACCCCUUGUGCUACAAUAAAAUUAUGAUUUCAUGUGUUCCCAACAUAUUUGAAUCAUGAUUUCAUUGCAUCUAAAAAACAAAUGAGGGGAAGCGGGUAAAAGUGAUGGGUGGUGGAUUUGAACUUAGGGAUAAAAAGUCUUUUUCAUGGAUUUUAAAAAUUUAUAGGGACCAUAAUGUCUCCCAUCAAUCAUAUGAUAAAUAGUCGUAAGGCAAUGUUACUACACAGCCAGUCGACAAGAUUGCAUCAAGACCUCACAAACUAAAAAGGUUUACUUUUAAGAAGAAAAGAGAAAGAGGUUUGAUAGAUACCAAAUAUGUUAUUCAACACUUAGAGAAAAAGUAAAAAAAGAAAAAAAAAAUAUAGAUGUGAUAUUUUAUGAUGUGAUAGGAAAAGAGAAAUAAAAACAAAUAAGAGAUGUUGGAUUAUUGGUGGGGUGUAUAAAAUUAUGAACAAUUCGUGUACACUACUCAAGAAAUAAUAACAAAUUUUGAAAAACAAUCCAAACCAACUUAUUAUGUAAACAGCAAUGGUAUUUAGGCACUCACUUUUAAAAUGUCUAUUCAACAUCCAUCAUUUUUACACAUCUAUGUCUUUCUAUGCAUCAUAUCACCUAUAAUAUUUAAUAUUAUUUUCUCUCUUUCUCAUUAGGUGACUAAUAGCAUGUUGGGUAUUCAAGUAUUAUUUUUCUUGUUAUUAAUAAAGAAAGAAAAGCCCAAUGAUUUUGGGCAAAAGAACAUAAAAAAAUUAAGUUAAUAGUCCCAUAAAAAAACUGAACAAUCCUUAACAAUAAACAGUUCAUAAAUUCCAAUAAUAUUUUCCAAAGAAAUUUUCAACAACCAAUAAUACUUUCCAAGACUACUAGAGUAUAUCACGAUAGAUGAAGAUUAUAGGAAGAAGAAAAAAACCUUUGAAAUUUGAUGAUAUAAAGUUUAACGAUCAAAACAAACUGCUUUAUUGCAGAUGAGAAAAAAAUGAAAACCCUUCUAUAUUUCAUUUUCUCAUCAAAUUAAGAAUUGCUUUGACCUGCAGAAAGGCUAUCAAUAACUUGGCGAUAGAAGUCCCAAGAUUCACUUGUUUCAUUAAUUCCUUCUUGGCCAAAUGGGUGUUCCUCAAUGUACUUAUGCAUAUCUUCAGCAUUUGCCAAACCAUCCAAAUAUAUUCUCAACUCCCCUCCUUCAGCUGCCAUGGAUUAAAGUUGUUAUUGAUCAAAAUCAAAAUUGACCAAAAUAUAAGCUUUAGAAAUUAAUGACAGGUUCAUUUUAUGCAUCUUAUGUUACAAAAUUAUAAAGUGUGCAACAUAGUUUGUCAUACAUUAAAUGUCUAGUUUAAUCAAAAUUUAGAAAUGAUUUGUUAUGUUUUAAAUUAUAUACUAUAUAUAGAUUAACAAAUAAAUAUUGGUUUGCCUUCCUAUUCUUAGACCACCGUAAGAUUCAAUCCAGAAGUUAAAAGAAAACUAAAGGAAAUAAAUGUCAAGUAUGUAAAUAAACAAAAAACCCAAAGAAAAUUAAUCAGUCAAGCUUUCCAUAAUCCUCUAGCAAGAUAUAUACUAGUAGAUCUCAGCAAAGGAUUUUACCUAAGGAGUUGUCACUUUCAUUCUGAUAAGUGAACGUAUGAGGGAAGACUGAGGUGUUUGGCUAAAAUAAUAGAUCAAAACAUUUUAAGAAAAUGUUAGAAAAUGAUGUAGCAAUGUGCUGGUGCUAAAGGACUUGUUUUAAGAAAGUUAAGAAGGAAAGAAAAGGGAGUCAAAUUAUUUACAGGAUUAAACAAUGCUUUAUAAGGAGAAUCAUCUAACAACAAUGUAUUUGAUUCAUUGAAAUAUCCUUUCUCCCAUGGAAGAUCAAGAUCAUGUUUAUCCCAAAGUUUCCUCAAAUCCUUAAAAACCACACUCUUAUGCUUAUUUUCAAGAGUUUUGAAGGUUGUUUCAAUGCAGUGAGAAAGGUCCUGCAAAUCCAAAGCCAUGAAAACGCAUAAUCAGAUGUAGAAAAAUAUUUACCUCUAACAAAAGUGAGAAGGUGAGCAUUAAGUAAAAUAUGGUAAAUGUCACCAAUCUCAUGAAAGGAUAAUAACAAUGUACUUAUUAUAGGGGAGCAGAGUUAUGAAUUAAUGCAAUUCAUUAUUUUUUUUUAAUAAAAUGAAGACAAAAGAAGAAUAAAGUUCAUAUCUAAAUUAAAUUCUCUCGCAAAAAGACAAGAUCACCCGGCAAAAUAAACAUGACUGAAAAAUUCAAUGCAACUAAUAACUAACAUGGUUUCUCCAAACCUUACAUCUCUAAAUAAGUAAACAUGUAUUAUCUAUAAAUUACUAAACCAAUGAUAACAAUUCAACAAAUGCAUACGGCUUACCCAACAGAAAAGCAACCUUUUUUUCAUGUCUCCCAUCAAAUAAUCAAUGACUCGAUCAACAUUUUUCCUAUGAUAACAAAAAAAAAAUACAUAAGUUUGUACUACAGCUAAUUUGUUGACAAUACAAUAUCCCAAAAGGAAAAGAGGGCAGUUGAAAUCUUUGAAAGAAAAAUGAAGACAAACAAAUUGAAUAAUAGACACAAUUAAUUAAGGCAUAUCUAUUGAAAAUAGUUGAAGGGUACUUCAUUCUUGAAGACCAUAUGCCAACUUCAAAUUUAUCGAAGCAAAACUCUAGAAACUCAAGAUAGGAGGGCCUCUUGAAUACUGAAAUCAAAUUCAAAUACAAACUAAUUAGUAAAAGAAUGGAUACGAUUCAGUAAACACAAAGCACAACACAAUCCUUACUGGCUCUCCUCGCAAUGGUUGCAUCUGCUUUGUGACCCUUUGGAGGAGGAGAAACUACAUCCGCUAACAACCCAUUUAUAUCAAGAACAAUUAGUCUUUUCUUCAAACUACGAACUUGAGUUCCAUCCAAAGAAAAUUUAGAAAUUUCUGAACUAAGAUCUUCUUUUAUGACAGAAGCAGCUAAUGUCAUCUUCAUUUCGUCUGUAAAGGAAGACAACUCUUUAUCAUUUUUCCUUUUGUCUGUUGUAGUUGAUUCAGUAUUCAUUGUAUUUCCUUCGGGAUCCACCCUAUUUUUAUCUCAGCAAAUAUGGACAACAACCAUAAGAUUCAAAUAAGUCAAUAGAAUAUUAUUUACAGAGAAACAAUCUAGCAAGCACAUGCAUAACUCAAUGUUUUGAAGCAGGCUUCAGUAGUACUAGUACAUUUGUACUCAUUUUCUACAGAAAGUUAAAAACAACCAAUUAUAUAUUCUGCAUUCUACAUCCUCAAGCUUCUGCCUGUGUACUAUUUAUUAGGUUGAACUAAUUGGGAAAUUUAAAAUACCAAGUCCUAACGAUACAUGAGAUAACCAUCUUAAAACAAUUUUAAAUUUUUGUUCUUUUUAAGUUUUAACUUCAUUAGCCUGGUCAUUUAGGAUGUUACUGCAACUUGCCAAGUUAAAAUAUAAUUGUUUGUUUCCGUUUGCAUCACACCUAAAAUGAUGUGUAGCAUGUUUGGUAUAGAAAGUAAAUUUAAUGAAUGAUGAUAUAAAUCUUAGCAAGGAUAUAGCAAGUUUCACCCGCAUGAACUAUAUGUUGUUUUUUUAACAGGGCUUGCCAGCCAUUUUGCUGCUAAUGCCUUCUUGUUUUAUGUUUCCAUUAAAAUAGGGAGAUCGAAGGUCCACAUUUAUAGCAUAAGGCAUAUGGCCAAUUGUGUUGAAAGAAUUCACAAACAAACAAAAGAAAACAAAAAUUACUAGGAAGAAAUAUUGAUUUUAGAGAUUUAGAUUCAAAGUGUCGAAAGAAAACCAGAAUAUGAUGGAUCACAUGUGCGGUUAUCCGCUAAUGACACCAAAAGGUUACUUAAAAGUUCAAGCUCUACUUCGGGUUAUGCAAUUCAAUAUUUCCAAAAGAUUAGUGAUUUUAAUUUGGACACAUCCUACUGGUCUAAACACUUAAAUAUCACUCAUCAUUUCUCUUUGUCUUUCUUUUGAUUAGAUCAUAUUUCUUAUUAUCCCUUUUAAAAUACACAUUCUAAAAAGAAAUGAGAAAUUUCUAGGAACAACCCUCCACAGAAGAUAAAAUAUAAAAUCAACAAAUUUAGCAACAAAAAAUUAAGAAGCGAAACACUGCUCAUGAUUGACUAAAAGAAGGUGACAUACUGACAUCAACUUGCAUUUCAAGAAGCUAGCAAAACAUGAAACAGAUAAGCAAGAAAAAAAUCAGCAGGAUUUCAAGAAUUUCAACCACUUUCUGGUUAGUUGUUGAAAGAUAACAAAUCAAUAAAUAAAAGAAUUACUCAUUUUAUAAUGUAAACAACAACAAAGGAGGGAUGGUCACUGUUUCUUACCCAAGAACACAAUUCUGAAAGAGGAGAUUGAGUAGACAUACAUCAACAUUCAGCAUUCAAUACAGCGGAAAAAAGGAAAUGAAUAAAGUCAAAUGGAUUAAAACAGAAAGAAAGUUACACCAAGAAAGUAUCUUUGUACUUUAGUUAUAGUAGGGGAGCAAAGUUGUGGACUGAUGCAAUAAGUGUUUGUAUUAAAUGAGGAUAAAAAACAGAAGUAAAGAUAUAAUUAAUGUUUAAAUUAAAUUCUAUGAAAAAUGGCUAGAUCAUCAUGAAAAGGCCACCAAAUACUAACAUGCACGGCUUUCCAAAAUCUCACAUAUCUAAAGAUAUAACUAAUAUUUAAAUUAAAUCCCUACGAAAUGCCUAGGUUAUCAUGAAAAUGCCUCCAAAUACUAGCAUAAAUAGUUUUCCAAAAUCUCACAUAUCUAAAUAUGCAUUAAUUAUUUUAAUAAAUACUAAACAAAGAGAUGUGGAUAUCAAUGAGGAAGUAGAGAGAAAGAAAGAGAAAGCAUUUGGGAGUUAGAAAAUAGUUCAACAAAUACCUCUUAUCUAGAAGAAAAGCAACUUGUUUUCCAUGUCUCCCCAGCAAAUAAUCAGCAAUUAGAUCAACAUUUUUCCUAUGACAACAAAGGGCUCACAAGUUUAUACUAUAGUUGAUUGUUAAAAAUUUACAUUUUCGCCAAAAAGGAAAUAGGACGAUUGUAAUCUUUCUAAAACAGAAAUGAAGACAAAUUGUACAUAAGAAAGUUAAUCAAGGCAUACUUAUAGUUGAAUAGUACCUCUUUCUAAAAGACCAUAUGCCUACUUUAAAACUAUAAAACCACAACUUCAGAAAGUCAUGUAAAAAGGGCCUCUUAAAUACCGAAAUAUGAAGUCAAAUACAACCUAAUUAGCAAAAUAUUGAUGAUUCAAAAAAGAAAGCAGAGAACAAAACAAUCCUUAAUUACUUGCUUCCCGUUUAGUGAUUUUAUCUUCUUUAUGUUCCUUUGUAGGGGAAGAAACUAUGGAUGCUAGCAAUCAAUUCAUGUCAAGAACAAAAAGUUUUUCAUUAAGCCUCCAAUUGAUGUUCCAGCCAAAGAUAUUUUUUAAAUUUCUAAACUUCAUUUGUGACAGAAGCAUGUAUUGUCUCUAUUUAAACAAUACGAGAAAAAAAAAUCUAGCUAGUACAUCUGUAAUUCAAUUUACUGGUAUUUAAAAUUUCAAAAUAUAAUACAUAUUUAUAUACACCCAUAAUGUUGGGAAUAAAACUACUCGAAUUGCCUUCAAAUUUAAAGACAACAUAUCAAGUUACAUUUCUUAUUAUAAAAAUGAUAAAUAUAAAUCAUAAAUCAUUAAAAUACAUUUGAAUGAUAAGAUUAAUAUAUAAAUUCUCAUGAAUGUUUUAAGUAGUUACAUGAAUACCAACUAAAUUUAAUUUUGACUAUCCAUGCGUAGUUUAUGUGACCAGUAUUUAUAGUUCUCAUUCAUCCUAAUAAGAGUUCUCACUUAAUGUGGUUGUAUCUAUCCAUGUGUACGUGUGCUCUUAUGUGUAUUUUUGUAGACAAAUCGAUUAAAAAAUGGUGAUGUUCUCCUUUCUCUUAGCCUAAGUCAUUUCAAACCCAUGCACUUGUAGUUGAAAAGGACAUUCUAAAACAGCAAACCACCACGGUGAUUAGCAAAAUGGUGGAUUUUCUAAACUACACCAUGAAUUAUUUUUUAAAAGAUAUAUCAAAUGCACAUAUAUAAUUAUUUCAAUCGUAGAGUUAAGUAACCUCCCUUGGUCAUCUGUUCCACAAGAAAUAAAAGCAGAGUCUAUGUAACCUUGAACCACUAAGGUGCAUGAGAUCACAUCACAUCUAGCAUCCACUAAGAAGUGUAAAAACAUCAAAAGCAUUCUUAAAAGUUCAAGCUCUAUUCAAGCUAUGUACUAAUCCAUUUUUUCAUAGUUAAAAAAAAAAAACAGAGAAGAUUAUUCAAGCACAACUAUUCAUCAAUGAAAGAUAAAAUAAUAAUAAAUUAGUACAAACAACAAAUACAACAAUUAAAAUUUUAAAAAAAAAUGAGGGUUGAUUCCAAAGAUAUCAACUUCAAAUUAAUGAAACUAGUAGGAAACAAUAAACAUCAAAAUAAUUAAUAUAAUUCCUACAAGUGCAAAAUCAAACCCUCACCAGUUGUUGAAUUGGGAUUUGAACAACAAUAAAUCAGUUGUCACUGUUUCAAACACGGAAACAAAUCCUUUAGAUAGGAUUGACGAGACAUAUUAAGAUUCAAUGCCAUAUAAACAACAAAAAACGGAAAAUUUAAAAUGGGAGAUAUACACACAAAAUUUCAAGGAUGGUUGAAACAAAAGAAAGCAAUGAAGUAUGAUCAUAGUACUGAGCCACGAACAAAACAAAGCGAACAAUAAAGAUAUGAUAUUUUGAAGAAUACAAGGUGGAAUGGAUGCCAUGUUUCACUCUUGAACCUUUUCACUGGAAUCAUAGCAUGCACACUAAGUUGAGAGAAGAGAGAAAGACAGACAUAUCAUUGCUAAAGUUCAUUUCAAUUUUGUUUGUUUGUUUUAGAAAUGUAACAGUCACCUAAAAAUAAAGUGUAACUUUUUUUUACUUGGUAAUAUGGCAUUACUUUGGUGUAGGUUGUAAAUAAUUCGCAGCAGUGUUCCUUGGUACCUCAAUCAUUCAUUUAUUGACGUGUACCUUCCUUUGCCAUGUCAAAUAGCGAAAUUUAUUUAUUUGUAUUGUAACAAUUAAUGUUCGAGGUUUGAUUUGCAAAUUUGAUAUUUGUUUCAUUUAAUUUUAUUUAGCAAAGACACAUUAAUCCCUAAUCUUAAUCUUCAACUUUGUUUUUCCAACCCAUUGUGUUGUGUCACUGACUACGACACUCACCACCAUAUGCGACACUCAAUCGAUGCAUAAGCUAAGUAUGAUAAAUCCCCCUCAAUAAAGCUAGUAGAAAAACAACCCCUGUACAUAUUUCAAGAAGCAUAGUUGGGUCAUACACUAAAGCUACCCAUCUAUAAAAAUAAUUGUCAUGUAAAUGCAUAAUUGGUCAAGAAAUUGAGGCUCUAGCUAUGAUUUCCCGAGUCUUGAAUACAAACUCAAAAUAUUAAAAAUGCACUCUAAAAACCUCCAUUAAUCAUCAAUACUUUGCCUAUCCUACCACCACUUGGAAAAAUUCACAACAUUCUAUAAUCCAACCUAGUAAUAGGGAGUGUCGCAGUCGGUUGUUAGCGCUACAAUGACAAAAUGGAUGGGAAAUAUAGGAUCGAAAUUAAAAAGGGGGUGUAUGAUUUCUCCAUUUUUUUGGUUUCAUUUUUAAUAAAAACACAAAAUACAUUUGAAAAUGUGUUGUUUUAAAUUUUGAAAAUAUUUUCGAUAAAAACAUUCUCAAAAAAAGGUUGAAAACUGAAAAUAAGAAUGUGUCGUUUUCAAUGUUUUUUCUAAAAGAAAAACAUGAUGGCAUGAGUCUGCACCCACCAUUCUCCUACCUUCUUCUCUUACAACAUUUGUCUCUUGAAAUCAUCACCUGCCUAUGCCUGUUUUCAAAAUUCUCAUCUUUUGAAAAUAAAAACAAUUUUAAAAAAUGAAAAUAAAAAAAUAAAAAUGUAAACCAAAUAUACACUUAGGGAUUGGAAAGAUUAGGAAUUAGGAUGUUUUUGCUAAAAUAUUAAAAAGCAAAAACAAAAAUAUCAAAUUUUAAAAUAGACCUUGAACUUUAAUUGCUAAAAUAAAAAAUAAUUUUCAUUUAUGAUAUGACAAAGGCAGUCACAUGUCAAUAAAUGGAUAAAUGAGUUAUCAGGGGCAUCACUGCAGGUUAUUAACAACAUACACCGACGUAAUGCCCAUAGUAAAUUAGUAAUAAAGUUUGAACCUAUUAGUUUUCUUUUUCUUAUAUUUACUAAUAGUCAUAUUUUCUUACAAAGCCAGUUUUUUUAGGUAAAUUUAGAAAAGGAAUAAAGAAUAAUAAUUUCUAUUACUAUAAAAGAAUAUAAUAAAUUUGAAAAUAUAAUAUUAUCAUAUUUUAUAUAUUUUUUGUGAAAAUGGUUGGACAAUAUUAUAAUUAACAAUUUAUAUAAUGUAUUUUAAAAUUUAAUAAUAUGUGUAAUAGAAAUAAAAAUACCUGCAUAAAUUAUUCAAAUAUAAUUAAACUAAAAGAUAUAGUAAAAAAAGAGUUUCAACCAAUCCAGAAAAUAAAAAAUAAAAAAUUGUAAGAAAAUUUGAAUAAAUGACAUAAUAGAAUGAACAUCAAAAUAUCAUAUCAACAAAUAGAAUUAAAAUCAAAUUUUAAUCUCUUUUAUUUGCGUGAAUGCAAAUGCUUAUUAACACAAAUCAUACAAAAAACUAAUAUGCAACAUAAAUAAGAUUAAAAAAAAAUGAAUGGUCACCAAAUUCAUAUUAGAGUAAAGCAAAAUGAAUGUUUAAGAUGAGGAGUAACACCUCAUGCUUACUCGUAAAAUAAAUAAUUCCCUCUUCAUACAUGCAUACAUACAUAUAUAAACAUUAAAUGGUCUUAAAAAUAUAUAAAUGUAAAAUAAAUUGAAUAUUAAGAGCAUGACAAAACAUACAAUUCAAGAAAUAAAAAAAAUUGUAAGAAAAUUUCAAUAAAUGACAUAAUAGAAUGAACAUCAAAAUAUCAAAUCAACAAAUAAAUUUAAAAUCAAAUAAAAAUAGAAAAAUAUAAUUUUUAAUAUUUUUUUAUUUGUGUGAAUGAAAAUUCUUAUUAACACAAAUCAUACAAAAAAAAAAAACAACAUAUGCAACACAAACAAAAUAAAAAAUUGUGAUAACCAUGAAAAAAAUGAAUUUGAUGUAUGCUAAUUUGUAAUACAACAAUGUUUCAUUUGCAGCUUUAAAACACACCGUGCUAACUAUUUUUUUUAUUCUUUUGCCCAAACAAAAGUAGUUGGUAAUGGAAACACAAGAGGUUAAAUGGUUUACAGGCAUAGGAUGCAGUAGGAAAAAAAAUCCAAUAAAAAAGAAAGAACUUACCGUGGGUCGUAGGUUUCUCACUAUUCUCUUAGAUUUGAGAUGAUAAUCAAAAUAAAAAUUGAUUUAUGAGAGGGGGUAAAGGUAUACAAAUAGAAGCAUAUGCUUUUUAUAUAAAAGUGAUGAUAAACUGAUGGCAAUAGCAAUUAAUAACAUAUUAAAUUACUUGUCAGAAAAAAAUAAAUUAAUUAAAUGUAUACAUUGACUUUUUAGAAUAGAAUAUAAUUAACAUUGAAUAUUGAUUAAUGUUUUUAAAAUAUAAUCUGAAAUAGUUUAAUAAAUUAAUAUUUUUCUUAAGAAUAUAAUAUUUUUAAUCCUAGCUAAAAAUAAAAUAAAAAUAUAAUGCAUACCUUUAGAACAGUAAAUCCCAUCUAUUUUGUAUUCGUCUUUUUAUAUUCGAAGCAAUAAAUCUCCUCUAAAUUAAAGAAUAAAUAAAAUUGAUAUUGAAUUUUAUAUAAAAGAGAUUAUAAACGCGUGACAUUUAUGAAUAAAAAAAUUAGUGGCAAUAGAAAUUAAUAGUUUAUUAAAUAAUUUAUCAUAAAAAAUUAGUAAUUAAAUAAAUGUAUACCUUGACUUUUUACAAUAGGAUAUAAAUAACAAUAAAUAUUGAUUAUAAAGUUUUAAAACAUAAUGUGAAAUAGUUCAAUAAAUUAAUGCUUUCUUAAAUAAUCUGAUAUCAUUAAUCCUAACAAUUUUUUUUAAAAAGCAUUCAUACCUUUAUAACAGUAAAUUUCCUAUAAAUUAAAGAAUAAACAAAACCGAUAUUGAGUUCCCGAAUAAAAUUAUAUUGCUUUUAAAGAUAAAAAAAACACACACACCCGCACACAUAUGGCAACGAAAUCAUAAAAAUCAAAUAAAUAGAAAAGUAAAAAUUCAAAUCUUAAUAAAAAAACUAAAUAUAGAAAAAGCAAUUCAUACCUUUCAAAUGCAAAUAACAUUAAUUGAUUAUGUUUUUAAAAUAUGAUGUAAAUAAUUUUAAUAAAUUAAAAUUUCUUAAAUAAUUAAAUAUUUUUAAUAUUGAAGUGAAUCAAUCCGUCACUAAAAAGAAUGUUAAAUAGUGACCUUUUACUAAUCUAACUCGUUUUACAGUACCACAAUAGCUUAUGGAUAUCUUAAGCUUUUAUGCUUUGAGAAUCAAAGGACUAGUAGGCAUAACCCAUUGCCCCACAAGUGCUUUGAUAUAAUGAUGAGCAAUGGCGGAUCCAUUAAUUUUUUCUAGUGAGGGCAAGAAAUAACAUAGGGUUAAUUGGAUUUUUAGUUCCUAAAUUUUUUGAAAAUUUCACUUUUAGUCCCUAAAUAAAAAAUUUAGUAUUUUUUGUCCAUAUAAUUUUCCUUUGUCAACUGUUUUAGUCCUUACGGUCGAGUAACAAUGUUAAUUGAUGAUGGAUAUUCAUAUUAACACAACUCAAUGACUUCUCACAUAAUCAAUAAGAUUGAUGGAGGCAAUCAAGUGUAAUUAUUUUUUGGUAAAUUAUGUUUUUAAUCUCUCCUGAAUUGGUUUAACAUUAUCAACUAAUAUACACGUGAUUGUCCUGUUCAUAUUUCUUGCAAAACGUGACAAGAUAAUGGACCGCAAACAUGAUUGGUUAUGUCAUCAAUUAACAUUGUUACUCGAUAACAUGAACUAAAACUAUUAGUACAAGAAAAUUAUAGGGACCAAAAACGUUAAAAAAAUAUAUAUUUAAGUACUACAAGUGAAAUUUACAAAAACUGUUGGGACCAAAAGCAUAAUUAACUCAAUAGUUUAUAAUACUUUGGCAAUAGAAAAAUAUCACAAACUUUUACAAAAAUACAUAAUUUAUGACAAAAAUUUAAAAUAUUGAAGUUUAUACAAAUUAUAACUAUCAUUUAUGCAUUCUCAUACUUUAAAUGUUUUAUGGAUAAAGUAGUGAAAUUAGUAUUAUAUUUUUUACAUUUAUUUAAAGAAAAAUAUCUUAUGGCGGCACAUUUUUUAUUUAUUACACAUACAAAUAAAAAAAAUAUUGUCACCGAAAUUGCCCCCACACUCUUGUAUGUGCAUCCGCCAUUGAUGAUGAGUACUAUUAUGAAAAAACACUAGGUAGACUAGUUAGUUACUACUUCAAAAUCUACUCACAGGUGAUACAAAAUCUAUUACCAACAAAUUAUGUUUCUCACUUGAUUUCAAUGAGUACGCGAUAAUUGAUGUGCAUAAUUAGAUUAUGUAAUUAAAACAUAUAAGAAUUAGCAAUAUCCUCCCAUUUUUAUUGCUUCUUUUUGUGUGAAUCAUUGGAAUUUCGACAUCCUCUGAGUUUUUGUGCGGUAGGUGCCUUAAACUACUAAUUCAUAUUAUUUUGCAUAUAUACAGGCAAGGGAUAGAUAGAGAAGUUGAAGGUUGAUGGUUCGCGCUCAGCAUGCUAGGCUCGCUUACUGAGCUGUUGGCGCUUAGCGGGAGGGUGUCCGCUUAGCACGAAGAAGCAGCACAGAGCACCUACAGUCAGGCGAAAGGGCGUUUAGCGCACAUGGGUCGCUUAGCGCCCAUCCACUUACUCGUGCUCAACGUGUAGUUGUUAGUCGUCAUUUACGACUAACUUUUAUAUAGAAAAGUUUUAUAAAAUGUAUAUCUUUUCCCCCAAUUUAUGGUUCUUUUUGUAGGUUUGUACAUAUUUUUAGGUUUAGUUUAAUUUUGCUCAGUAGAUUUGCCAAUAUUGUGAAUUAAUGUGUUUUUUACUUCAAUUUUAGGUAGAAAGGGUGAAGAAGAUGAAGGUCAGUAGCUGGUGUCUCGCUAAGCGAGGCUUGUACGCUUAGUGAGUAUCAUGCACUAAGCGAGGCACACAGCCCACUUAGCGAGUUAGGAGAAUCUGAGAUGCAUCUGCACGCUUAGCGCAUCAUCAGCUUGCUCAGCGAAUUUUCACUAACUCACGCUCAGCGCGAAAAUGGCGCUAAGCAAGCCUUCGAGGUCAGAAAACCCUUUUUAAGGUUGAAGUUGGAAAAAUCGAUAUAGAGAGAUAUUGGGUGCGUAGAGAGAAAAACAGAGGCAAAAAACAAAGCAAGAAAGCCAAAAACUUCAGCUUUCAAGAGAAUUCUAGGUUUAGGAGUAAUUUCUAGGUUCCUAGAGGUGGAGGAGACAUCCCCACCACUGUGUAAUCUGUUAUUUUCUUCAAAAACUCUCAUCUUGUAGCUGAAAGGUGUUGCCUUGUGAUGGAAGGCUAAGUUUCUCUGUUGGGAAAUUUUGCUAAGACUUGAUGUAAAUUCUUAACUAUCUAUUUAAAGUUGUUUUAUGUGUUCAUUGCUUCUAUCUACACUUAAUUAUUGCAUGCUUUUGGUUUGAUCAUCCAUUUGUGUGUAAAGUUAGGAUUUUUAGCAUUGGAAAAUGUUUUUAAUCCGUAGAACUGGAUAGAGUAGGGCUAGAUAACUGCAUUGCUAGACAUAGAGUGCAUGGUUUUAGUUUUUGAUAUGCUGUGAUUUUAAUGUUGUUCGAUUAGGCUAAGUUCGACGAGGGAUCCGAGAACGAGGUUUAAUUAGAAUAAGUCCAUUCACGCAAGGGAUUGGUGUUUGGUAUUUUAGUCCUCAGCAUAGAACACAAAAAUAACCUUAAAUAGAGAAAAAUCUUUAAAUUACAUCAAACGUUCAGUAGAAGGACCUGACAUUUUUAAUCAUUUGCUUCUCUCCCGUUUUGAUAGCGUAAUUUGUAGUUAAUUUAGAAUUACAAUAUACACCUUUUGUUUAAAUCUAUUUCAUGGCUUUAUACAAAUGUCUACUUAUUGAACGAAGCUUCACCGAAUGAAACAAGUUCCCGGAGUUUGAUACUCAGUUUCUUACCGUUUUAUAUUACUUGAUUGACUCGGUACACUUGUCGAUAAAUUCGCAGUUGUAAAGAGAGCGAACAGUAGUCGCGGGAUUGCAAACUCAAGAAAGGUUUUUAAGCAAAAAAAAAGGGAGAAGUAGAGGGAGUUUGUGAUGAGACAAGAAAAAGCCCUAAAGCUUGAGCUAGAGGAAGAAGACAAUCAUUGGGAACUCAUUCUCUUUUCUCGCUUCACCUUCAUUCCUUAUCCCUUCACCUUUUACAUCCUUUUGUACAUUUGAGCCCUUAAUGACCAUGAAUGGCUAAGCAAUCCAUUGUUGGGGAGCUUUCCACCAAACUCUCUUGAUGUAAAAACUCUUACUAUCUAUUUAAUAUUAUUGCUAGUUUCAUUGUGUCCUUCCUAUGUUUAUUUCCAUGUACUUGGUUUGAUCAUCCAUUUAUAUGUUAUGUUAGGAUUUAAGCAAUGGGGAAUGUGGUUAAUCCUUAGAACUUAGAAGAACAUCUAAAAUGCUUCAUUGCUAAGGAUAGUGUGAAAUAAUUUAGCCGAAUAGUACAUCUCUAUCAAUCAUGCAGUUCAUCUAGUUUAGUUCUUGAGGGAUUAGGGAAGAAUUUAUGAGAAUUAGGAUCUCUUGUGUGAGGAAUCAAGGUUAUAGUAAUUUUACGGAUGUAGGUGGUAACUAGAAUAGUAUUAAAUAGAGAAAAUUACCCCAAUUACAUCAAGAGAAGUUUUGGUAGGGAGCCCCAAACAUAAUCAACUCCUAUAUUCAUUUUUCGUCAUCAAUCUCAGUGUUUGUUCUCUUACUCAGUUUUAGUCUAAAACCACAUCAUCGUCUAAAUUGCGAUCAAAAAAUUAUUUACUUAGCAUUUCCCCAAUUUAUUCAUUAAUUGCAUACAAAUUGAAUACGCACUAGUUAAGCACAAACAAAAUCCAUGUGGAAACGAUACUUAGUUUUACCGUUAUAGAAUACUACUUGGACAAAUUGGUGCACUUGUCAAUUAGUUAACAGUACAAGUUGCUUCUCAAUGAUAAAAUAGUUUCAUAAAAAAAUCAUUGAUCACGAAGGAUUUAUAUUGGUUCACUCAACCUAGGUUACGUCCAAUCUCACAAUUGUAGGCUUUUUGUAACACCCUAAGGAGUAUUAAUCUUGUAAUUUUACUUAUAACAUCAAAGAAUAGGAUAAUGAACUGCCAUAUAUAUAUAUAUAUAUAUAUAUAUAGGAAGUAAGAAUGUACUAUGAUAAAUGGAAAUGAGAGUAUAAGCUUGUAAAAUAGAUAUCAAGGGCACACCGGAGACCGGUUUACAAAUCCCAGGUUUUCAUAAACAAAGAAACCGAAGAGGCGGCAGAGCUGCACAGGAUCGGUAAAGAGAGAGAAGAGGGAUGAAAAAUAUAUAUUUAUUGAAACUUGAAAGAAGCGCUUACAAAAAUCUUGUUUCAGAGAACCUCUCUUCAGAAACCUCAAAAAUGGCCAAAUGAAAGGGUGCCUUACAACAUACUUGAGGACUCCUUAUAUAGCCAAAAAUCUAAGACUGGUAGUUGCCGGUAGUUUUGACCGGGACUAUUUGACUAUUUGUUACAAGACGAGUAGUUUUGACCGGGACUUUAAUGGCUACAGGACAGGUAGUAUUGUCCAGCAUUAAUUACACAUUAAUUACAAACAGAUGGUUUUGUGAUCGAAAUUAAAUUUAAUCUAAACAGAUACCAAAACAAUCAUCUUCGUUUUGGUAAAAGGGGUCUUCUUCUUCUUCUUCAGCAGAACUUGUUUCUUCCUUCUUUGAGGAUGAACCUUCUUCUUCCUACUGUAACAUUUGCAGAACUUCCUUUAUAUUUUUAGUUAGGACCUCCUUUGAUUUCGAUCUUGCUAAAAAUGUUGCCAGAUGAGACUUUUGGUUCAAAAACACAGAAGUUUCUGGAUCAGCUGCUUUGAGGAAUUCUGGAUGGGAUUGGAACCAGAGUUUUACUUGUUCUAGAUCUACUUUGGAUGAGUCAAAUUGUGUCCACCAUUUUACAAAUACGUGUCUUUGUAGUGAUGGAUAUUGAUUUUUCUUUUCAGUCUUGCUGUAACGAUACUGCCAUGAGAAGAUCCAUGACAGUGCAAAGCUUGAAAAGUAUUUAAGAUAUGUUGGAAUUCGUGAUUCCUGCGAAUUGUAUUAUCUCUCAAAUUAAGCAAAUCCUUGUUGGACUGUUUAUGGGAAUAUCUCUGGAAUUGGUCCAAAGAAGUCCCACCAUUGCAAAAACCAUUGGGGAAAUCGUAAAUUGUAUUGGUCUUGAAAUAUAUUAGCCAUGAAUGCUUGAAGUGGGUAUUUUGGUGCCAAAACACCUUAGUCCAAGCAUUAACAUAAUCCCAAUAGGUAUAACCUACUUGAUCAAAUGGAACUGAAAAUCUCUUUCCUUUGUUCAAGUCCGAACCAAAGUGUCUUGGUUGAAGAACUUUUAGUAUUUGGAUUGUGGAGUGGGUGUUUAAUGUUUGGUCUUUUGGGUCUUUGAAAUGUUUGAUAGAUACUGAAUUUGAAUCUACCAAAAUCAAUUCAUAAAAAGUCCUUGUCUUCAGGAUGGUGGUUGGUUUGUAGUGAAAUCCUGGUGGGAAAGCCUUGGCCGUCACCUUGCAGGGAUUUUUGUCCCAAAAUUCAGGUUCCAUCUGCAAAACAGUUACAAAUUUAUUUUUAUAAAUAUAAUUGUUAGUUUGUUUGGUAGGUGGUAUUUGAGCUUUGGCUAAAGGUAGUUUCCCUUUAGGAUUGGUAGUUGCUUUGGUCAUUGAUGCAUUUUGGAUCAUUGUUUGUAAAUUUGAUUCAGAUUCAUCAUCAGAUUCUGAGGCAAUGUCUGCCCAUGAUUUUUUUGAUUAUUUUUGGAAAUUUGGUUAGACCCAUGUCUUGAAGGGCCUGAAGGGUUUCAAUUGGCCAUGCAUAGUCAGCCGAUGUUUGUUUGGUGGCUGCCGGUUUGGGAGAUUCCUGAGUGGAUGGCUCAGGUUUGAUUGAGGUAAUUUGGGUUAAUGACCCUUCUAAAUUGGUUUUCUGGGUAGAUGACCCAACCUGGGUUGGUGACCCAGAAGAGGUUGAUGAUUUCUUAAUGGUUGGCUCUGGAAGAGCUAGUCUGGCUCCUUUGCCUGUACUUCUUCCUCCCCUUAGGGAGAUUCCCGAUGCCUUAGGAGGCAUUACCACUUUUCUGUAAGAAUUCAUGGGUAAGGUAGUCAGGUAAUGAAUUUGAGGUGCCCUUGAUGUAUUCUAUGUCAAAAUCAAAGACACUUAGAAUUGCUUGCCAUCUUGCAAAAAUUUGUUUUGAGGCAAGGUUUUUAACAUCUUUUUGUAAAAUAUCUUUGGUUGAUUUACAAUCAACUCUGAUUAAAAAAAUUUGGUUUAAUAAAUCCGAUUGAAAUUUGGAAAUGCACAAAACAAUUGCUAAAACUUCCUUUUUAACAGUUGAAUAUUUUAAUUGUCCAGGAUUCCAAUGUUUUGAUGUAUAUGCAAUGACAUGAUCUUGGCCAUGGACUCUUUGUUUGAGGAUGCCACCAUAACCUAUGUCUGAAGUGUCAGUUUCGACAAUUUUAAAUGCCUGUAGAGUAGGAAGAUACAGACAUUUUAUGGAUUGGACUUUGACUUUGAUUUCUUUAACUGUUUGUGUAUGGAGGUCAGACCAAGGAGGCAGAUUUUUCUUCAACCUAUCAUGCAAUGGUUUGACAAUAUUCUUUAAAUAGAGGACAAAUUCUCCUACAUAAUUUAGACAACCUAGAAAUCUUUGUAACUGGGUUUUGUCUAAGAUUUGGUUGGGAAAUUUGCUAGCAAACUCUAUUAACCUUUCUAUUGGAAUGAUUGUACCUUGAUAUAUAUUGUGACCAAGGAAUCGAAUUCGAGUUUGGAAAAGAUUGAUUUUUGAUUUGGAGACUGCCAAACCAUUAUGUUUGAUGAUAUGGAUGAAAGUCUGGAGAUGUUUGAAAUGUUGGUCAAUGUUUUGGGAAAAGAUUAAAACAUCAUCUAUGUAGACAAUGACAAAUUUUGAAUAGGGAUUAAAAAUAUCAUUCAUAAUUUUUUGAAAUUCUGAAGGGGCAUUCUUCAGUCCGAAUGACAUCACAUUCCAUUCAUAUUGCCCAAAAGGUACAGUAAACGUUGUUUUCUACCUAUCUGAUUCUUGGAUUUGGAUUUGCCAAAAUCCAGAUUUCAUAUCAAAUUUUGAAAAUAUCUUUGCAAAAUUUAAUCUGUUAAGCAAAUCUUUUUUGUUUGGAAUAGGAUAUCUAAUCCAUUGUAAUGCUUGAUUUAGUGGUUUGUAAUUUAUGACUAAGCGGGGUGUUCCACGCUCAAUCUCAAAUUGUUUGUUGACAUAAAAAGCCGCACAAGACCAUGGGCUUUUGCUUUUCCGGAUUAGGCCUUUAUCAAGCAAAUCCUUGAUUUCCUUUUGGCAGUAUUGAAGGAGUUCUUCGUUCAUUUGGAUUGGUCUGGCUUUUGUGGGAAUUUGUUUUUCCCUAAAGUUUUUCUCAUAAGGGAGAUCAACAAUAUGUUUCUUUCUAUCCCAAAAUGCAUGUGGCAAAUCAGAACAGACAGUUGAUUCAAUAUGAUUUAAUAAAGAUUGAAUUUUUUUCUUUUACUUGGGGUUUUCCCAGUUGUAUCUGAAUAUUAUUAAGAGAUACUUCUUCUUUUAAGAAGUUAAUUUGAUUAAUCUUAUUUUCUAUAAGAUUUAUAUUUCUGGAGAUUGGUUUAGUAGAAAAAUUAAAUAUAAUUUUUCUUCCUAAGUAAUUUGUGGUUAUUCCUUUAUUAGAUAUUUGAAUAAGAAACAAAGCUCGAAUGAAGGGGGUUCCUAGGAUUACUUUGUUCUUAAGGUUUUUUACUAUAAGAAAGUUUGUGUUAAUCCUAAGACCUUGGUUCUCAAUGAUUGCAUUUGAUAGCUUAAAAUUAAUUGUUAAUUUUGAGCUGUUUGUCGUACUUAAUUUUUCUGAGGUUUUCUCAAAGAAUUUUGUAGGAAUUAAUCCUUCUAAAAUGCAGUUUGAAUCAGUCCCUGUGUCAAAUAGGGCCAUUGUUUCUAAAACAAAAUCAUUAAUAAUUAUUUUUAUGUUUAUGUAAAAAUUUUGGAUUUUAAUCUUGUUGAUUAAUCCCAUAAACAUAUCAUCUUCUAAAUUUUCUGGUUGGUUUUCCUCACUGUUGUUGGCACUUUCAGAAUCACUAUCUUCCUCAAGCUAAGAAAGAAUGAUUUGAUGAAUUUCUUGUUGUUGACGAAGUUCUUUUACCUCUAUUUUUAGAUUGUUUAUCUCUGUUUGGAGAUCUUGGAUUGUCGUUGGUUUGGUUGAAGAAUUUUCUAAUCUUUUGAGUAUGUUACUUACAUCAAAUUUGUUUUUUGUAAUAAAAUCCUUUUGUCUAGGUUUUACCUCUAAUGUUUUCUUGAGUUUUUCUAGAAAAACCUUCUUUUCCUGGGGGGUCAGGUAUGAAAUUGAUUGCUUCAAACAAGAGAUCUUGUUCUCUUGUUAGAGUAUUGAUUUGCCCAUCAUCAUCAUCUGUUGAUGAUAGUUGGUCAUCUUGUUGGAUUAAGUUUAGGUUUUCAUCGGAAAGCACGGAGGAUGAAGUUUAUGUUUCUUCCUCCGAGGUUUCUAUAAGCAAAUUGUUUAUUUGCUCUUCAAUUGCGGGUUCUAGGUUAAGGUUUCUUAACUUCUUUUUUAGUCUACAAUAUUUGCUAAUGUGGCCUUGUUUUCCACAAUUGUAGCACGCUAUUUUUUAUUUUAUUUUUUGUUUAGGAUUUUCCAUUUCUCUACUGGUUGAUGGUUUGUGAGAGUAUCUCCUCCUUGGAAAUCUCUUUGUAUUGACCGGUUUAUUCGCAUGGAUUUCUUUUCUAGAGGAUUGUUUUUUCUUUUGUUUUGGACAGGCCGGUAGACCAAAUUGUUCGCAGAAAGAACCUAAAUCUUUCUUUGUUUGAGCCUUUUCUUUGGCUAAUUGCCUCUGAAUUUUGUCAUCCUGACAAAUUUUUAAGGCUACCUUUUGGACAUAAGAAAUUAAUUGACCAUAGCUUAAACUUUCAUAUGAAAUAUCUCCAUUGGCAGAUUGACUACGGAUUUUAUCUCUAACCUUGUCUCCUAAUGAUCUGGGAAGACCGGCUAGAAAUUUUUCUUUCCAAAAAGGUUGUUGACUAUCUUCUCUUGUGUGAACCCUAGUUAGGAAAGUAUCUCUGUACCACCUAAAAUCCGUUAAGGUUCUACACUUAAGAUUUGAUAAUAAUUCUGCAGACCUAUCUUUCCACAACAAUGGGUCUCCAAUGAAAUGUUGGGCUAUUGUAAAAAUUAAUGUAUUAACAGCAUCAGGAAUCUCAUUAUCAUCGUCAUUAGUAAUGACUUUUCCAUUGAGACUCGUCUUAACUGCGCUGUAAAUUUUUCAUUUCUCUUCGUUAGUGGGAUAAUUAUCCCAGCAUCCUUUCAGUUGUCCAGAAAAUCCUGCCACUAUGAUAUCUAUAAUGGUCUCUUCUGAACAUUCAUGGGAGGUUUGGUAAGCUGUAGCUACCAUGGUCAUAUGUUGGAAUGUAUUCAUGAUGUUAUACUCUGUUUGUGCAUCUAUGUUCCAUUCAUAUAUGUUGUUUGUACUAAAACUCUUAAAAUUGUUUUCACCUCUUUCUUCUAAUAGAAGGUCAGGGGCAGUCGGACGUUAAUAAUAUAAUUUGGAGGGUGUUUUCCAGUGUUUGGAAUUAAUUGGAUUUAUAUUCUUUUCUGACACUGAUCCUAUCUCAGUUGUGUUAUCUGAGUUUUGGUCACUAUCUUCAUUAAUAACAUUAAUUAAUUUGGAGGUACUUCUUAUUACCAUUUUGGAAGUAUUUUCCGAGGUUUGGGGAGUAUCUGGAAUGACCUUAAGUAAACUACCAAUCUUGUUUAGUAAUUCACUAUGAUUAUCACCUAUGCCUUCAAUUAAGGAUUUAGUUUUUCUAAGUUCCUUAAUUUUUCGUUUAGCCUUCUCACUAACUUUGAAAGGUUUGAAUAAAGGUUUUUCAAUGGGGAUACUUGGCGAAGCUUCCUCAAUUGAUUUUUGUUUAGGAACUACCUUAGUUUUUAUGGUUUCUCCUAAAGCUUGUAAAUAUUUAUUGGUAUAAUUUGCCUGUUCCAUUAGGCUCUUAAUGUAUUUAGAGGUUACUUCCUCGUUGACAUCUUUUGUCUUGAAUGGAAUUGCCAUGACAGGUUUAUUGUUACUGUCUUUGAUAUUUGGUAGUUGAUAUUGUGUUGCGGGAGGUAAUUCCGAUUGGAUUAACUCACCAUCCUUCACUUGCCAAUUUGUUAUGACAUUUGUUGUUGGAUCACCUAUGAUGUCUUGUUUCCAAGGGUAAUCUAUAUCCUUUCUGAUGGCAUAAGCAUGAAACCAAUCAAAGAAAAGGACAUUAUUUGACUCUUUCGACAAAUUCGUAGAACUUGUCUUGGAUUUGUUUUCUGUUUGUACCCUUGUAAUGUUGGAAAAACCAUCUCCUUUGAGGCUCAUUCUCCGGAGAAUAAAAAUAUUUCCUAAGGGUUUCCUUAUCAAUGCUAAAGUUGUCAGAUAACAUCAUAAGGUUCCAUAGAAGAGUAUGUUGGGGAUUGGAUCGACUUUUGGUCAUCCUCUUGUUCUUGGUUGUAUGUUGUUCUAGGUAUGCUAGAAGUAGUGUCUAAUCCUUGGAGGUUUACAGUAAGGAACUGGUUAUGUGACUCAGAUCUGGUUAGUCCUACUGGAAUUGAACGGGUUCUAACCGAAAAAGACCUUCUAGCUAACUCAUAUUCAGACCUAGAGGCUUCUAUCCUUGAUGAAAAAGAAUUUCUCCUAUUGAAGGUUAUCUCUACCUUUUCGGAGUUAUCUUGCUUAAUAUUCUCUAUGGUUGGAGCGGGUCGGGGAACCGACAGUGUGGCCUUAUCCAUAACCCAUCUUUCGGGAAGAGUUACUUCAUCCCAUUUUAUUUUUCUCGGGAGAGAAACGUUAGCCUUUGUCAUAUCAGUGAUUAACAAAGUUGUUUGUCCUUUUUGAGGUUUUAACAGGACUCUAGAUGCACAAGUAUUCAUGACCUUGUACUGGAUCCUAUAAAUUAAGGCUGCUGGGAUUGAUCCUUCUUUCAUGUCAAGGCCAUGAAAGUGGAUGUUUAAGAACAGAGAGUCAAGAAUGUUUCUGUCCAUCAGACUCACUGUUUUGUUUGAUAAUAAUUAAAAUAUAUUGGACCUUGUCCUAGGCUGGUUUCGACUAUUCCAAUUAGGGAGUCUUCAAAUUUAUUAUGUCUAAUAUCUCUUAGACACAUUAAAACUGCUGCAUCUAUACCCAUAUCAAUUAAGGGCUUGAUGGCUACUUGUACACAACCGAUGUGUAGAUAUUUAUACUUACGGCUAUGUUCAUAAAUUGAAUUUUUUGAAAGUAAAUGAAAUUCUUCCCCUAUAUCUUGUCCUAGAUGAAUAUUGUUUUCUACUAUUUUGAUUAUGUAAUCGAAGUUGUGUUUGUCCUUAAUUGUUUCAGGAACGUAUAAUUGAUCCUGAGGGAUUUCUGGAAUGUUCCAGUCAUCCAUGCUUUGAUUGAUAUCUUUGAAUCGGACUUCCUCAUCGAAUAGAUUGUGUUUGGGGGCGAUCUCUUGGGUCUGGUUAUCUUGAUCAUUUAAUAAAUUGGAGUUUCUUGAAGAAGAUGAUGAGGAGGAAUUUGAUCGAAAAGAGAUACGGGAAAAAGAUCGCAAUAGUCUAGACAUGAUUAUAACUCUAAUAUAUUUGCCUUCAUUUGGUUCCAUAGAAAUAUUUCCAUAAGGCUAUAUGUUACAGAACUUCUUGGAUCUGAAUAAAUGAAUUUUUUUUACGGACAAUAUAGUUUGAACACUACUCCUAUAGCCACUAGUAUAUUAUGUCUCAAUAUUUUAUUUGAACAAUACACCUUAGUCUUACUGCCCUUUCUCAACCACGGAACUUACUGCUACAAUAUCAUUCAACUAAAAUAUCAAACUACUAUGCUUCCAGAAAAUACUGUUCAAACAUAUACUGUUUAAAUUAAAACUACUGUACAUGGUUCAGAUCCAUAAGUUCAGUUAACAUAUGCCAAGUCAUAAAGAUAGGAAGUAAGAUCAUUACAUAUAUAUAUUGUGAUUUCAUUACAUAGACUUAAAUGUCAUAAUUAUAUACAAAACAUCCCAAGUGAUAAAGAUUAUAUAACAAUACUCAAACUAUAGAAAUUCCCAUUGAAUUGUGCCUUUAACAACAAUAAUUCAAUACAUAAAGUCUUUCAAAAAAAUAGCCUACAAAUGAUUUUAAAUAACCAAACAAGAAAUCUUCACAGAUAGCCUUCAUCCAUAGCACCUACUCAAUCUAGAACAUGAAAACUAAAACUGAGACAAGGUCUUAGUGAGUGCAUAAUGCAUGCAAUUCACCUAUAGGUUCAAUAUAUACAUCAUUUAUAAGGAGUCAAACCAUUCACAUCCUUCUUUACAUGAAUCACAAUCAUUAUACAUCAUUGAUAAAAAAAAUUCAUAUUUGAACCAUUCAUCAUUCCUUGCACAUAAAAAUGAAAUUCUUAUUUUAUCAUUUAUUUCCAUUUAUAUUUUGUCCUUCAACAAAAUAUUGAUCUCAAUUAUUAGAGAAGUGUCGACCACAUCUAUUGCGAUGACCUUUUAUUUAUUUUCCCCUACAGCCCAAUGGGCUUUGCUUUGCCUUAAAUAGUAGGAAGUGACCUAACCCCACCUAUCAUUUAAGGGAAAACAUUUGACCUCUUACUUGUAUCCCCCUCAGGUCUGAAGGGCCUUAGACUUAAACUUUCCUUUUUCACAAGUAUAAUUGCAUACGCUUCGUUCAUUUUUGACAUAUUCAUAUGGAAUCUCCCACAUUCAUCAGUAACACUUACCAAACAUACAACAUAUUUUAUCAAUUUAAAUUACUCGCGCGAAAGGUAACAAAAAAAGCUAUCAUUUAUAGUUCCAGGGCCCUUAGAUUGCUAAGCCAAGGGUGCUAUUAACUUAGCCAUAGCCUAUUUGGGAAAUUCUAUAGGACAAAUGGCUUAGCCUCGGGUUCUGCUAGCAUAGCCAUAGGUUUUACUAUCUUAGCCAUAACUUAUUUGACAAAUCACUAGAGAACAAUAGCUUAUCCAGGGUUAUCACCAGCUUAGCUAGCCCAUUGGAGAACUCUUUGAAGGUCAGGUAGCUUAGUUAGGGCUAAUGCUAGCUUAGAUAGCUCAUAUGAGAACUCUCUGGAGAUUGGAUAGCUUAGCCAGGGUUUUCACUAGCUUAGCCAUAGAGCAACGAUUUUUGCAUAUCAUUCCCUUUGCAUCUAUACUCGUCUAAGGCCAUUAAUGGCUCAAUUAAAUAGUUUGAAACGUCAUUGAUGACUCAUAAAUGAACACCUAAGCUUUUAAACAUCAUCCAAACACCAAACAAAUAAUUAUUCAUGCAAACCUAUAGAAAAUCACUAAACCCCCUUUGUUAGAGUUCAAACUCAAAAUCCAAAAAUUCACCCACAAAACUACAUGAUCAAGAGGGACAAGGGAAAGAAAAUGAAGGGAAGCACUUAUUAGAUGAUGCCAAGAGUGUGGAUGUGUGUGAGUGUCCCUUGAUCUUUAUCUCUUUUUCUUCUUUCUUCCUUCUUCCUUUUUCUCUUUCCCCAUUCUCACUUUUUACAUGUGUGCUAUAAGUAGUGAGUGAGAUGGUUUUUUUUUUAUGACUUAAGAGGGAUGUGGGCCUCUUGGGCUCUAUAUCUCAUUUACCCUAACUAUGGCCGAUCAAACUUUCAUAAUACCACUAACAUCUAGAGUUGACAAAAAUGGAUGGUCCAACCAUAAAAAAUGGGCUCUAUCAGGCCAACCCAUAUUUUAUAUGAUUCUCAUUUUUUGAAUUCUAGUAAGGUUUGAUGUCCCAUUAGACCAGCCCAUAUUGGUUUGUUUUACUUUUUUGUCUAAAUUUAUACAAAUUAAAAAAAAAUACCGAGUCAAAAUAGUUCCAAUUAAAUUUAUGCCUAUAUUUCUUAAGUCCAGAUUGGCUCGACCGACCCAUCAGACUGGCCUAAAUAGUCUCGAUUCUAUUUGGGCCAACAUAUUCUCAGUUCAUCUUGGUCUGGUCCAGUGGGCCAAUGGCCUAUUUCCUAUUGCCAACUCUAUUAACAUCCAAUUCUAUAGAGUACACAUGAAAUACACAUAAAAGACAUAAAUAUUUAUUCAUCUCAUUACCUAUUAUUAUUUUUGUUAUUGUUGUUGUUGUUGUUGUGGUUAUAUCUAUAAUUAGGGAUGCUAUAAAUCUAUCCCCCAUCAACAAAUUUUUAACCUUGAAAAUUAUAACUUAUAGCAUACCUGACUCAAAAGUUGUGGGUGUAACAACCUCAUCUCAUCUUCCUUUUCCCAUGUGGUAUCCUCAGCAAUAAUCCAUUCCCAAUUCACCUUAACUAAAGGAAUAACCUUGUUCAUGAGGAUUUUCACACUGUGGUUGACAAUCUAAAUUGAUCUUGACUAAAAGUUGAGAUCAAAUCUCACUGAAUUGACUCAAUUUCUACUACAUGCGAGGGAUUUUGGACAUACUUUCUGAGUUGAGACAUGUUGAACACAUCAUGAAGAUUGGACAACGAUGUAAAUUGGCUUUUGCAUCGUGCAAAAAAUAUUUUACUCUUACACGGUAGAAUCAGUCAUAGUGAUUAUUCCUUAUUUCCUUAGUUUAGCAUGAGAGUGGGCAAUUUGCUCCAAUUUUUUAAAAAACUUUCCAUUUCUAACAUGAAAUGUAUAACACCUGCAAAUCAUACUAUAGUAAAUAUUGUGUUUGGGUGCUCUAUGAAAGCUUAUUUUAUAUUGAAAUUAAUUACAAUGAUGAAUCAAGUAAAGUGAUUUAGGAAAAAAAAUCGAACCCUAUGUAUAUUAUUCCAUGUGUCAAGUUUUAGUGAUGUUCAACUUUAAUUAAAAUCAUAGUUUUACAUUGUAUGCAUUUAUAAUGUGUAGAUAAUUUAAUUAUGCUUUUUCUUGAGAUAAUUGAUCUUGAGUGAAAUCUCAUUAAUUAUUCGUGUGAUUGAUUUUGUAAAAUUAAAAUUUGUUAAAAGUUGAGAUGUAACUAAGAACAAGUUGGACUAUGUAGAAUUUAUACGGUGUGAACCUGCAUUAUGUCAAUUUUCACUUUAUAAAGUUACUCUGUGUAACAUUAGCAAUGUGGGGUAAAAUUUAAUAGCAUGCUUCUCUAGGUAAUUAGAACAUUAAUCUAGGUUAGUUGACUAGAGAUUUACCAUCUUUGGUUAAAGUAAAAUUUCCAUUUUUGGCCAAAGUCUACUUUAGCCAAAUAUGGUCAAAGUUGCAAAGACUAGAAACACUUUCUUUUUGGCAUAACUUGGCUGCCUACACCAAGCCCCAUCAGACAUCACAUUUGUGUCGGCUCACCUCUAAAACCCCUAAAGCCUAAUGGUCCACAACCUAAGGCAAAGUUCCCAAAUACCUAGUUUAUGAGAGAACAAAGGAAAUAAAACUAUAUGAGUUGUGUGUGUUGUGGAUGCCAGGAAGAGAGAGGGUCAUUUCCCUUUAUUCUGGUGGUGGGGUUUGGAGGAAAAGAAGACAAAAUGUUGACUUCUUUAAGAGGAUUUAUUUCCUUGACCUCCAAGUACUUCUUUCUUGCCUUACUUGCAAGGCUCGUCGUGCUUAAGGUUUAAGGUAUGAAUGAGUUAUUUGUUUUUCUUCUUGCUUGUUUUAUGGAGUAGCCUCCAUUUAGAUGUGGUGUAGGAGCAUAAGUUAAUUAUCCAUAAAUCAAUAAUUUAGAUCUAUUUUGUCUUGAAUUCGUACAAACUUGUUAUAAUUUGAAAUUUGUUGUCAUUUUUUAUGUUUCAUGUUAUAGGAAUAUGUUUGACAUGAUUAGGUUUUGAUUUGGGUUUAUUUGAAAGCCAUUGGAGAUACACACACACUUUCGAGGUCCUAUAGUCACCCUGCUUAAGUGAAUUUUUGUUUAAGCAUUAAUGUUGUUAGGCAUUAUGCUUAGGAACAAGUGGAGUGGGGCUUAAGCGCCAAUGUCUGUCAGGUUUGGACUUUGGUUUCCAAAUGGAUUUUGAAUUAGGAUCUCCUUAUUGAUAAAAGGGUUUUUAAAUAACCUAAAUUGGUUUUAAUGCUAUGUUAUAAGAAUUUACUUUUACUAAGCAUGGAUGAGUUAGAAAUUGAAUCAAAUUGGGCAUGAAUUACUGGUACUUUAAAUUGCUACUAUUGAAUUGUUAUUGAAAUGAGCCUUGGAAUCAUUAUACUUUAACAUGAUGGAAUGAUUCUACCCCAAAGGAAUAUCAUUAUACUUUAACAUGAAUUAUCGAUCAUUGUGAAUUGAGUUCUUUUAUUUGCUACUAUUGAAUUGUUAUUAAUUGAAUUGGAGAUUGAAAGGAAUUGUGAUCUUCAAGCAAAUUGUGUGUUAGAAACCUCGAUUAUGUGUGUGCUUGCAUAUGGAUGUGGUGUUAUUUGGUGUGAUCCAGGAUUAUGGGAUCCUUGAAAAUGGACUCAAUUGAUGAGUGCACACAUUUGUAAAAACUAGAAUUUAAUUCUAGUGAUAAUUAAGAUUCAUUGCGACAAACAAUGAAUCAACACUUAAUAAGAGUGUGAACCUAAUAAAUUAUUGAAUGAAGUAAAUCUUUGGAACAUUUGUACAUUGGUGUACAUUCUUAAGAACAUGACCAAGAAUAAGCCAUAGGAUCUUUAGUUGGAGAACAUGGACUAUGAUAUAAGAUUUAAGAGAAGGAAAGAUUGCAUAAAAUUUAAUAAAACAUGGGACGGAAUGUAACAUCCUUGAUUUUCAACUUCUCGACGGCUCUCACACUACAACACUUCAUGCGGUAGCACUUCACUCAAUAUCCUUUUUGGUCAGAACCUUCCAUCGAUUAGAAUCCUCUGUUGGUAGCCAUUUCCAAAACCUUGAAAAUCAGUUUUGUCUGCUUUCAUGAUUAAUGACUGACCUAAAAAACCAACACAAGAUUUUUCAGUGUGCUUUGUCGAUGCUCACAUGCUUUCUGGGAAACUUCCCAAAAGGUCACACAUCCAUUAACUACUCCAAGUCAAACACGCUUAGCUUUGGAGUUCUUAAUUUAAUUCAUGGAAUGGGUUAGAAUGCUUUAAGGCAUUGUUGUGGAUUAUGAUGUGUUGUUGUGGUGCAUGAUGCACUUGUUUUCAUGAGUUGAGUUUUAUGCUUAUAGUAUCACACUUGUUUGUGAGUAUGAAAGGAGAAGGAAAAGUUCUUUCUUCUUUUGGUCAUGGUGAGACCAUGUAGAAUGUGACAUGAUCACGCUGUGGACAACACGUCAGUCAAGAAAUAUAAUCUCAUUGUGAUGGCUAGUUGUGGAGACAAGCUUUAGAGAGGUCGUGUGGGAAGUUUUGUCUAUGUUGUGUUUUAUGUUUGUGAAGGAUGUGAUAAUAAUGGUUGACCACUUAAGAUUGUGGGGGAGACAUGGAUCUUUGUGUGAUAUAUUGAUGAACUCAUGUUGUUUAAUCUACUAUCGUCCGAUACCAUUGAUGAAGAAGCCCACACAAACCAAAUGACAAUCUCGAUGGGGGAAGGUCCUUAAGGAGUCAGUCCUUAGAGAUUGGAUAUGGGGGAUGGAUAACUAACUUGUUAUUUCUUAGGGGUACGGCGUUGAGUUUGUGGUUGCAUUUCCACAGUGCCGACUUGGCAACCCUAAGAAAUUCGAGACUUAACCAUUGGACCAUCGUGAGGGUGUACUCCCAACAGUCAUCCAACUUAAAAUGUGUAAAACUGUUUGAGUUCUGAAGUUUCAAUGACAACGGCCUUGUGAUGUGAUAAAUUACGAAUUAGUUGGAAACCUGAACAGGAUUGCAAGUGAGACCAAGAGAGGACCACCUCGUAGUGGUUAGUAUGUAUGUUUGAGACUGUAAGGUCGUUUGUUUGUGCUUUUAGAAGAGAUGGGUGACUCACUCCAUACACCCUUUGUUUUUUAGAGAAAUAUGAAAGACUAGAUGCAACAACGAAGAUUGGAUGGAAAAAUUGCGACUAGCACUAAGGAGGUGGUGGUAUUUGUUUGAAAAGUAGGUACAUGAAGGUUAUAAUUUCUUUGAGACAUUAUUCUGAGUCCUAAUCUUUUCUUGUGAAAAAAAUGGUAGAUUUGGUUAUAAAUUUUAUGAUGUUAUCACUACUUUGUAUGUUACUCAAAUGUAUUAAGUAUCUAAUUCCAAGAAUGUAGAUAUGUAUUAUAAUUGUAUAAGAUAAAAAGAUUGUGCACUCACAGUGUAAAAAGUUUUACACAGUCAUCCAAUCACAACUCACCAUGUAUGCACCAUGUAUAAUAAGUUUGUUGACUUUUAAAAUAAUUAUCUUUAAGUAAUUCAAAUGAUGAUUUGCAAUUAUAUGAUAGUUGUUAGUCGUUAUUUACGACUAACUUUUGUAUUGAAUAGUUAUAUAAAAACUGCAUCUUCCCUCCAAUUUAUAGUUCUUUUGUAGGAUUUGUACAUAUUUUCAUGUUUAGUUGAUUUUUCUCAGUAGAUACUCCCAAUUUUGUGAACUAAUAGUGAAUCAACUUCAGUUUCAGGCUAAAAGAAGAAGAAGGUGAAGCAGCUAGUGUCUCGCUAAGCGAGGCAUAUGCGCUUAGCGAGUAACAUUUGCUAAGCGAGGCACUCAACUCGCUUAGCAUGCUAGGCAACCCUAGAAGAGGACCAGUCAGAAGGAUGUGUGCUCAGUGCGCCGUCAGCUCGCCCAGCGAGACGUUUGUUCCUUCUCGCGCUUAGCGCGCCCAGCUCGCUAAGCAAAAAUUCACUUACUCGUGCUUAGCGAGAAAAUGGCGCUAAACGAGCCUUCAAAAUCAGAAACAUCAAGGAGCCUUUAAAAGACUGAAAUUGGCAUAAAACAAGAGAGAGACGAGAAAAAUAGAGCAAGAGAGGAAGCUAGAACGACAGAGCCUUAGCCUUCAAGAUAGUUUAGGUUUUAGGAGUGAUUUUAGGGUUCUAGAGGUGGAGGAGACAUCCUCACUCAGUGUAACCUUAGUUUUCCUUCAAAAAUCUCUUCUUGGUGCUGAAAGUUGCCAACUUGCAAUGGAAGGCUAAAUCUCUUGUUGGGGAUUUCUAUUGAACUUUGAUGUAAUAUUAUCUUACUAUCUAUUUAAAAUUGUUUUUAUGUGUUCAUUGCUUCUAUAUGUGCUUAUUUCUUGCAUGUUUGUGGCUUGAUCACCCAUUUGCAUAUAAAGUUGGGAUUUUUAGCAUUGAAAAGUGUUUUAAAUCCUUAGAACUUGAUAGAGCAAGCUAGAGAACUGUAUGUCUGGGGACAGAGUGCAGGGAUUUAGUUUAUAUUAUGUUGUAAUCUUAAUGCAACUCGUUUAGACUAAGUUUGUUGAGAGAUCAAGGACGAAGUUUAAAUAGAGUUAGGCCCAUUCACUCGAGGGAUCUUGGUUUGGGUAGUUGUUUUCGGCAUAAGAACACUAAAAUAACAUUAAAUAGAGAAAAAUAUUUAGUAACAUCAAAGUAGGCUCAGUAGAAUGACCCAACGUUUUUACUCAACUGUUUUUACCUCUCAAUUUUAGAUAGUUAAUUUUGUAGUUAAUUAGAACUGUAGACAGAAACCCUUUUUAACAUUUACUUGCUUUAUACAAAUGUUUGCUCACUGAAUGUGUAUUUUCUAAAUGAAACAAGUUUCCUGUGAAUUCGAUACUCGAUACUUACUGUUUUAUAUUACUUGUGCAACUCAAUAUACUUGCUGAUUAGCAUCGCCACCGAGAAGCAAACAAUAGUGUAACAUUAUUUUACACUGUCAAUACAUAGACUUUAAGCUCAUUGUAUAAUGUAAUUGUUUUUCAAGACAUAAUUGAGAUUGUACAAAUGAGUUUUUAUCAUUUUGUAUCUGUUUAAUGGAAAUCAUGUAUUUUAUAAAUUAAAUUGUUUCUUAUUGAAAGAUAUAAUGUUGAUGGAUACCUUAGGUUAUUUAUAACAAGUAUUAUCUAAAUAUGGCUUAUCAUUUUUAAAAGAUCUCAAGUAAUGACAUUUUAAAAUAAAGAAAACAUAGUUUUUCAUGAUUUUGGUAAAAAAAAAAAUUAGUAUAUAGUCACUUUUGUCCUUCAAUGUGUAAUUCGCUGAUAAAUGUGUAUCUGAAAGAUGAAAAUAGAAAAUUUAGUCCAUGCAAGUGUAAAAAAUGCGACAAAUAUAUCCGACCGUUAACUUUCGUUUGUCACCAUUAAUAAAAUAGCUUAUGUGACACGAAGAGACAAAUUUUUCAAUGAAAUGAUUACAAACGUGGACUGUCAGCAUAAAAGCAUAUUUAUCAUAAUAUUAUUUUGCCUUUUCGUCUUCUCACUCCGCUAACAAAUGUAUCCCUAAAAGAUAAAAAUAUAAAAUUUAGUCCCCAAAAAUAUAAAAAGUACGACAAAUCAAUCCGCACGUUAAUAAUAGAUUGUGACUAAUUAUUAUUAUUAUUAUUAUUAUUAUUAUUAUUAUUAUUAUGUGUUUGUAAUUUACUGUUCCUAUUCAUUUAGUACUCAUGUAAUAUAUUUUUAAAAUUGUCUAUAUAUAUAUAUAUAUAUAUAUUAUUUUUAUUUUCUUGUCAAACCUUAAUCUUUCUAUUAAAAAAAAACUUUAUCUUAUAUUUUAUAAUUUAAUCAAAUUUCUCCUAAUUUUUCACUUUUAAUCUUUAAAAUUAUUCCAUAUCCUAAUUUCAAUUUAAGUACCCUUAUAUUUAGAUUGAAAAUAAUAUGUGGAGAGUUUUGAGUAGAAAAAACACAACCGACCGUGGGACCAAAUUUAUUUAUUUAUUUAUUUUAAAAAAGAAUUUAAUCAACUAUAUUUUAAAAAUAAAAAAAAAUCUCACAAAAUUUAAACUAUAUAAAGUUAAAGUAGAAUUAUAAAUUAUUUUCCUUAAUCAAUAAAAUAUAUAUAUAUCCUUUGGAUAAACCUUAUGUGCUUCUACUCGAGAUAAUACUUAUUAUACAUAAUAUAAAUGAAAUGAAAAUAGUUACUAAUAAAUAAAUAAUCCAAAUAAAUUUAAAUAAAAAAUACAAUAAUACUCAAACUAACACAGAGAUUAACUUCAAAACCAAAAAAAAAAACUAAUAAAGAGGUUUAUUCUUUGCCUUUGGACGUAGAAUUGUAUCUCUCGCUUAUUUAGGGAUUGCAGCGACCUUGCAUUCCAUUUGUCAUACUUUGAUAGAGUAUGUAAUAAAAAUUAAGAAUUAAUUGAAGAAACAAAUUCAAGAAAUAAAAUACUUUUAUUUUUUGAAUGGUAACUCAAUUUUUUUAUAUCAUAAAACUAAAAAAAAAUAUUUUAUUUUUGGAAAAUAAGUAGUUAUAUUGAUUAAUUAAAAAAAACUAAUUAACAAUUUGAUAGAUAGAUAACUAAAGUAUAAGAGUUCAAAUUUUAAGUUAUAUUUUACUAUUUUUCUAAUUCUUUUUUCCCUAGCUUCUCCCCUAUACAAUUUAUUAUUAACGUCCGAAUAUAUUUGUCGCAUUUUUUAUACUUUUGGGAACUAAAUUUUUCAUUUUUAUCUUUUGGGAACGCAUUUGUCAAUGGAGUGAAAAGACAAAACGUCAAAAAAAUAUUAUGACAAGCAUGUCUUUAUGCUGACAAUCUAUGUUAGCAAUCAUUUCGAUGACAAAUUUGUUCAUUCAUGUCACGUAAGUUAUUUUAUUAACAGUGACUAAUGAAAGUUAAUGGCUAGAUAUAUUUGUCACACUUUUUACGCUUUCGGGGACUAAAUUUUGUAUUUUCAUCUUUCACGGACGCAUUUGUCAACGAAUUCCACAUUGAGGGACAAAAGUGAUUAUUUACCCAAAAAAUAUUUGGACAAUUUGCCUAAGUUAAUUUUUUUAAUUAAUUUAUAAAAUAAAUGAAGAAAAACUAUAACAAUAACUAAAGAUGUUACAAGAUGUGGAUCAAUAAGACGGUUUUACUUGGAAACUCUCGAGUAAAAUGCCAUUCCCAUCACACUACAAGUAAAGAACAUAAUAAACACAAAUCCCCUCCAGAAAAGGUUUUUAGUUUAAAAGGUGCUAAUCAUGUUGAUUGUUGAGAACAAUCUUCUACCUAAUUUGCUUGUGAAGUCUCGUCCAUAUUAAAGUUCUACUAACAUGACAUAUAUGACACUGGUAUAUCUCAGGAACUUCUUUCAAUUACCAUAACAAAAAAUUGAGUGCAAGUUAAGUUUUAAUCUUCCCCUUUUCAUUUGAAUUGAUUAGAAAACUUAUCAAUAUAUAACCAUAAAUUUAUGACAUGUAAAUGUAAUUAUUACAAUGCAAAAUAUAAAACAUAUAUUAUUGUAAGUAUUUCUAGUUAAAAAGAUAGGAAGCAUAUCUAUACCUCGAAAUGGUUAUCAUAUACUCAUAUUGGUGUUGGAUACUUCUCGGAUGCCUCUGGAUACUUCCAACGUACAUCUAAUUAUUAGUUUUUGAAUUAUUGAGGCAAUACAAGUGGAACCGAAUUGAUUAGAUAAAUAAUAUGUUUUGUUGUGUUUACAAUGACUAAUGAUAACUUUUAAAAAAAUUCUGUUUCCAUAAUGUAAUCUUAAUUAUUUUAAUAUUAAAUUAUUUUUUUUAUAUUUCAUUUGAAUCUUAAAAUUGUGUCGUGUAGUCUUUUAAUUUUUGAAUUAAGUAAAUAUAUGUUGUUUCUUGGAACCCUCUCUAGUGUUAAUUAUUAGUUUGUAUUCGUGCUUGCCACAUAAGUCAUUUAUCAAUUUAUUCAUUUAUUUAGAUCUAUUAUGCUUAAUAGGUUAAAAUCAUUAAACUAAUCUUUUUGUACAGUUUAUUUAAUUUUUCAUUAAUGUGUCGUCUAUUAUAUCUCUCUCUUGACAUUCACUUCAAAAGAAUAUAAAAAUAAAGAAAAAGAAAAAAAAAAGUAAUGAGAGAACAAAAGGAUUGAUUUUCAGGAGAUGUUUUUAUCUACUAUAUAUUUUCAAUGAUUUUGCAGAAGAGAUAUUUAGCAAAAAGAUUAUAAGAAGGAAAUGCUAACUUUUAAUUAAUGAGCCUACAGAUAAGUAAUUUAUAUUUUACGGAAAAGAAUUCCUUAAUUCAAGUAAAUAAAUUCUCAACAGUCUAACAAAAAACAAUAUGAAGAAAAAUUAUUGAACUUUAUUGAACUAGUCGGUUUGACUUUGUGCGUAGCACGGGAUUUUAUAAUAUUUUUUGUUAAUAAUUAUUUUAUUAUGAAACGUAGUUUUUGUUAUUUUUAUAAUACUUUAAAAGAUAAUUAUAUAAUUAUAUUACUGUACAAAUAGAUCUUCACUGCUUCCAAGUUGCAAAAGUACACAACCCGUAACAAAAAUGUUUACUACCUUGAAAGUUAGAGAUACUACUACAAAAUAGCAUUUCUACAUCGGUAAUACCGUCUUUCUACAUCGGUCAUCACGUGUUGUUGUAACUGGCGUCAUUGAAACACCAUCAUCCUACAACCAUCUUAGAAUGACUUGGAUUCGAAGACGAGUCUCGAGUAACACCCGUCUUAGAAUGAUGACCAUUCUACAUCAGUUGUGUAGGCGAACUGUCGUAGAAUUCUGUCUAUUCUAAGACGGGUUGGUCUCUAAACUCGUCUUAGAAUGUCAGAUUUUUACAUCGAUUAUCUUAAUAACCGUCGUAGAAUGUCCAGCAUUUUACAUCAGUUGUGAUGGUGAACCGUCGUAGAAUGUUGUCCAUGCUAAAGCAUUCUGCAUUGGUUGUGGCGGUGAACCGUCGUAGAAAGUUGCCCAUGCUAAAACAUGCUACAUCGAUUGUUCUAAUAAUCGUCGUAGACUUUCCAGCAUUCUACAUCAGUUAUCGAACACAACCUACAUAGAAUUAUUUUAUUUUUUUUAUUUUUUUUGCUUUUUGUUCAUGAAUGGCAAUAACAAUAUGCAAAUAUAAUUGUACCUAAUGUCUCAUAUGAGACUUAAUUUAUAAAUUCUGGUCAAAAUUCAGCAAUGAAAAUAGUAACUGAAUAAGGACAUCAUUAAAACAAGCUAUAUAAACCCUAGAAUUUGAAUCUGAUUUUUGGUUUGGAUCGAUGCCACCAUUCUUCAUCUCAGGAAGGGACAACAAAUAUGCCAAAGCCUGCAAAACCAAGUUCCCAAAUUUAACUUUAGAUCAAAUUUUAUAUGAUUUCACAAGAAGGAUUAUACUUAUAUUUAUGUGACACAUAACUUGUAAUUAACUUAUCUACUAAUUAAGCGCUUAAAACUGCAUUAGUGGCUGAUUUAAGUGUGAUGUUAGUAACAUCAGCUUGGUCUGUGAAAAAUAACACAUCAAAUUAUAGGCAUGAAUUACAAUUUAAAAUGACAUCAUAGAUUUUGACUAUUUAUGUAACCAUUGGAAAAAUUUGAUAUAUUUUACUUACUAUUAAAGAGUGUUCUUUGUACGAAGAAUCAUGCCCCAAUAACAAUGUAUCACAGCAGGAGAACAAGGCCUUUUAUGUAGUGAGAAGUCCCAUCCUAUGAAUAAUUAAGGGUGGUUUUGUUAAUUCUUAUAAUAUUUGAUUGAAUGAAAAUAUGAUGUUAAAAAAUUAUGGUGUUUUUUUUGUCAGUUGAAAUUGUUAAUUAAAUAUAUACAUGUAAAGUGAAGCUCGUGAAUAUUAUUGCCAAUGCAAGGGAACUUGCUCUAGGAGGUUGAAAUUCACGUCCAUAUUGAUACCCAUUAUCAAAGCAAUGAUUACACAUAAUGGGACCUAUAUUGUGUAAUUGCAUAAGCUUUCAUUAAAAGAAGGGAAAAAAAGUAACUAAAUGAAAUUAUGAAAGUGUCCGUUUCAAUAUUAGAGGUGUGUGUAUCGUACCACAAACAUAGCAAUCUGAGUUGCUGAACCCAAUGCAACAGCCAAUGAAAUGUCCUGUGGUGAAGACAUUACUUUACUUUAACAUUUUAAUUAAUUAAUAAAAAUAUUGCUUGGUCAAUAUGAAUAUUAUGUUAAGUGAGGGGAAGUGUGAAAUGUUUAUAGCACUCUCUCAAGUUCUCCCCAGCUUGUUCUUGAAAGCAAAUAUGAUUGCUCCUGCAUGUUCAGCUGCAUUUCCAACUAUUGGUAGCAAGAUUAUGCUGAGAAAGCUCACAAACAAACCCCACGAAUCUUAUGCAUCCUAUUAUGUGACAAUUUUAUCAUCAAUAUUUAUAAUAGUCAAAAUGGACUUCAUUUUUUGAAAGAAAAAAAACAUUGAACGUCAAUUUCCUCAAUUGUAUCCACCACAUAUUCAGACAACACAACAAUGAACACAGUCAUCCCAACCAACCAAGCAAUGCCACUCCAUAAUCCAAUCACAACUUCUUCUUCUUCACCAUCCUCACCUUCGUAAACAAUUCCUGAUAUAAGCAAUUUAAUUAAUGUGUGUCCAUAGUUGAACAAUUCAACUUGUUAAUUAAUUAAUUACUUGUAAGAUACUAUAAGCAAUUUAAUUAACCAUUUUCAUAAUUUAAGAAACCUAGCUUACAUCUUCAGCUUCAAAUAACUAUCUGUGUGUCCAUAGUUGAAUGACAAUGUAGACAACAUAUGCAAUGAACAUCACAACAACACUUUAAGGUUUGCAAUGCCACCACAUAAUAGAGAGGUCCCAAGAACCAAAAGAAGGUUUGAAAAAAUAGAACCCACAGAGAAUACUUGACCACAACAAUUUUGUUACUCCUAAGGGCAAAUAUUGCUAUUAUGAGCUCAGUAGCAUUCCCACAUGUAGCAUUCAGAAGUCCUCCAACUGUAAUUGAGAAAAUGUAAAACAUUUAAUUAGCAACAGUGAUGCCAUAAUCAAUUUUCCUCAACAAUAAUGGAUAUUUCGUCAAUAAAAUCCUCUUUUCUUUCAUGAUUUUGCUAAUUUUUGGACCUGUACCUAACAAAAGAUUAAUGUAAAGUAAAUAAAAUAUGGUUACACAAUGGUUGUUGUUAAUCUUAUAUAACAUUAGGUAUUAUUUAAAUUAUACUAGUGAAGUUUUGGUACUCUGUGCUCUUUUUGGGACUUGCACUCAUAAUGUCACACUCUUAAUAUAGACAAAUAGACAAAAGAAUAAAUUCAUUUCUAGAAGACAAGGACCUUGAUUAAUUGCAUGAACUCAAGGCAGUGGUUUUGGACCACAUCCUUCCUAGGACCAAUAGGGCUUGCAAGCUCAUCCAUGACUCCUACUGCAAACUCCAAAACCUUCACAAUUCUCUACACAUGACCAUCAAAAAGGAGAAAAAAAUCAAUUGAACAAACUAGAUAUUCUGUCACUUUCAGGACAUUUUUUUAACAUGUUUUCAAUAUAUUACCUUUUCUACAUUCUGAAGUCUAUGCAAUGAAGUUGUUUGGCCCUGUGAAUCCAUGGAUGUUGAUUUCUUGUGCUCCUUCUCUAAUUCAAGUCUAUACAACAAAUCAUUCUGUAGACCAAAAAAUUAUCUAAGACUGGAUAACCAUCAAAUGCAUAAUUAACAAUUUCAUAAUCACAUAGUAGCAACAAUAGAGUUGAGAUACAUCAGAUGGUAAGAAUUUAUUAGUAAAUAGAGCGCUCAAUAUGGCCCAUCAAGACAAGCCCAACCUUAGUGCAUAUAGGUCAAGGCCAAAAAGCCCACUAGAUAAAAAACUGUGAGCAAAAGCCCGUAAAGCCACGUAGGGAAAGGGCUCUUUCCCAAUGCCAACCCAUAGGCCAAGUUGUCAAUCAAAAAAAACUAAAGCUGGAUAUUAGGCUUAGGGACAGGGCCAACCCGGUAUGUCUUUGGGUUUUUUAGACUAAUAAUAAAAAUGUAACAAUCCAUCAAAUUAUUAGUUUUAUUGUAAAUAAUUCAAUCUAUAUAAUUGAGCACAAAUUAUAUGAAUUAAAAGCAGAGAUUCACAUAUGCAAACAGAUAACAAAAACCAAGCCAAGUUCAUUUUGUAGAAAAAAUUGUAAGAUAGACCACGUCCACAUUCACUACUGCAAGUUUCUCUGGUUUCAGUUUGUGACAGGAUUGUAAUUCUUCUGAUAUUUCUCAAAACAAAACAAGUAUUAGAUUUAGAAUCCCAAAGACAUUUUGAUUCUCACAUAAGGAAAGGUCACUCACAUAAAUACUCACUUUUGUUAGUUGCCUCAUGUAAUGGGAUAUUGAGAGAAACAAUGUAGGCAUGUCAUGUAAUAUAUGUAACUUUUCCAAAUGAACACAAAAUUCUAUCUUCAAUACCAAAUUUGAAACUCGUAGAUGGAUCCUGUGACGCCCUCUACCCCUCACAUAUAUACUAAUAAAGGAAUAAAGAAAACAUAAUUAAUUUAAAAGUUUUUUUAAAACACAUUUAAAUACAAAUCUUUCAAAUGGUAAAAGACUCACUUUCACUUUUCUAACAUCAUAAUAAAAUUUGUCUAAAUAAAUAAUAAAUUCACUUUGGCUCAAAACAACAGUGUCUAAAACUUCAUACAAUUAAUAUAGAACUUAUACCCUAAUGUCACAUCCUAUCAGAGCAUUGUGUUCUCGUGUCCUCUAGCAUGAGAUUCUUCAUAGUCAUUCACCUAUUCAUCUGCUCCCACGAACACAAGGUUUGAGAUCAUCACAGGAUCCAAACACAAAUAGCACACUGGGAGUGAGUUAUCACAUUCCUAACUAAUGAAGAGUAACGAUACAACAUGUAGGUAUAAAUAUCAUAAAUACAAAAUAAAACUUACUUAAACAUAGCUCACAUCAUUUCACCACUUUGUCACCCAAUAUCACAUCAUAACACAACACAUCUCAUUCAUUUUCACAAUAUUCACGUACUCAAGGAUCAACACACAAUAUCACCAAGUCAAUCAAUAUCGAUCAAUACACAAGCAUUAUGCAACAUAUACACUAAGACUCAAUCUUAUAUGCAAUGUGGUACCAUGUCAGUGAAAAAUCUCGUCGGGCGCCUAGGAGUACAUGACAAGACAAACCACACACUAGCAAGUCAGGUCACUCUCACUAGGUAAGAUCAUAGGGAAACCAGUCAGGGUCACGGUGUUUUGCGAGAAUGCUCCAACCAUAUGGGAUCAACAUAAGCUUAAAGGAGCACUCAAACCGAGUGACCCUCAAGGCCUACACUCUGAAGAGUCUAUCAGGGCCUCUCCCUCCCGAUUCAGGUCCAACCUAGAAAAUAUUUUAGCACACAUACUCUAUAUAUGAACUGUACAAAACACAUGACUCCUCAAUUGUUCUCAAAAUAGUUUUAACUCGUCGCCCUUAAAGAGUCUUAUAGUCGUGUGAUUGUACAAUUCAUAGUUCAUAACUCAAUGCACACAACAUCUCAAUCACGUGCAUACUCAGUUUAUCACAUACACUGAAUCUCAAUCACAAUGGUAUAAUCUCAAUUUAACACGUUAUCACACUUCAUGAAUCAUAUACACUUUACCUAUGAACCAUGCAAUACACAGAAUUACUCAAUUAUUUUCAAAACCAUUUUAACUCGCCGGGUUCCCACAGUGGAUCUCAUCACAAUACUCGUCGCCCUUAAAGGAUCUUACAAUUGUGUGAUUGCACAGUUCAUAGCUCACAACUCAAUACACACAUCUCAAUACACAUGUAUUUCACCAUUAAUCACAGGUUCAAAUUAUCACAACAUGGGGAGUAAAACCCCUCAAAUAAUUUCACACAAUUAUAUCAAAAUCAUGGGUCAAAACACAAAAACAUCAAAAGCACUCAAGUUUAUCAAUCAAUACUUAUCAGAACAUCAAUUGGUACAUAAAACACAAUAAUAUUGUAUUUGUAAUCAUAAAGCAAAAAUUAUAAGUCAAUAAAUAUCCCAAAAUAAACUCCAAUUUAAUCCUCUAAGGAUCCCAACACAUGUUCAUUCUAACCCUCAAUUGUGAUAAAUUCAUUCCUUACCUCUAAGCAGACUCACAUUCCGGUAGCAAUAGAGGCAUCUCUAGCAAUUUCCUGAGAUUUCUCAAGUUUUUCCUUUGGUUGCUCUGAUAGGGUUUCCAAACGUUAGAUAGAAUGAGAAGGGAUUAAAGCCUCCAUUUGUAUUGUCUUUGUGCGAUUCUUUUUUCUCCCUCCAUGAAUAUUAUAUCGUAAAUCCCAACAGUGAAGGCGUGCACAAUUAAAUCUCAAACCACAUAUAAAACUUUCACGACAAUCCAACGGUUAACGAGUUCGGGAUUGUAAUUUUACCAAGACAGCUCUGGGUUUCUGCGUGAAAGAAAAAUGAUACGAUGCAAAGUGUAAUUAUCUCAACUCCGACAUGAUUUCAAAAUUACCAACGGUGAAAAGGCUCGGAAUUGAGUUUCAAACCUGGUGCUUAAAUUUCACGAUGAUCCAACGAUAAAUGAGUCUGAGAUCAUCGUUUUUCUGAGACGGGUUUGGUGGUCUACGGGAAGUUUUGGGAGGAGAAGAGAGAAAAACGAAAAUGAGGGGAAGAGAGGCAUAGUCAGUCUGAAAACUGACCUAACAUAUCACUAUUUAUAACUAAGGUACUCAUAAACUAUUAUUUACUUUAUUUAUUUAUUUUUAUCAGUUUAUAAAAAAUAAAUUCUAUUUUAUUCCCUAUCAAAUGAAUAAAUCAAAUAUAUUUUUUCUUCAAACAAUUAUUUUAAUAUAGUUAUUUCCCUUUAUUUAUUUAAUUAUAAAAACCUCAUCAUUUUCUAAAACUUUAUUUAUUAUUUUUUUUACUAAAAAACCUUUUUAAUUUAUUUACGAAAAAUGGGAUGUUAUAGAUCCAAUUCAACUUUCGCAACAUUAAUUAGCUCGCUCAAGUUGAUCAAGAAAAUGUAGGAAAAAUUGUAAAGCAUCCUGACAUCAAAUUGGAAUCAAGCAGUCAAAAACUAAAGAUAGCAAAGUAACAUGACUUUAAGCAGAAGAGUAUACAUAUAAUGUAUAUUAAAUAAAGGAUACAUCUAUGUUCAACAAUUGAGUUACGAAGUCAAUUAUUGGAAAUGGGUCAAUAAAUGCAAUGGAAGAUAUAUCUGCACAUCCAUAAGUCAACAUUUACAUUGAUAUUUGAAUUGACAAAUGAAACUAGUUAAGGAAAAAAAAAAGCAAAAUCUAUGAAAAUAAGAAAUAGGUGUACACUUAAAAAUAUGUUACAACAAAGCAAUGUUUGAUGAUAGCCCCAUCUAUGUAUGCCAAAUACUCUGGUACAAACCACGACAGGUAUCCAAUCCCUCACCUAAAAGCUGUCUUCUGCCCAAAUCAAGUCACUAAAAUAAUCAUAGUUUCAUUUUAGUUGUGCAGAAUGCAUGAGAAACCAUACGUUUUUUGUCAAAAACAAAUCGAAAAACCUUUUUUUUUAAAUUAACAAAGACGAUUUUCUAAUGACACUCGUCGUAGAAUUAAGUCUUCAAAUUAUCAAAAUAUCAUCGUGACAUGCCUACUAAGAUGGGUGUAGUAGACUGUCGUAGUUAAAUUAUCAAUAAUUACAAAAAUGUCACUGACGUACAUUCUAAGACGGUUCCUAGGAACCGUCUUAGAAUGAGUCGUAAAAAAUGAUUUUCUUAGUAGUGAGAGUAAAAAUAAUUUAUAUUUUGAUAUUAAAAAUGUUGACUUUUGUAUUAACUAGAAACUUAAUUCUACAAAAUUAAGUAAUUGGCAUUACCAAGGAAACAAUUUUCAAUUUCAAUUCCUCAACAAAGACCAUAUACAACAAGACAUUAGUUUUUUUAUCAGCCUACAAAUGUUACUCCACAAAUUAAGUAUUUAUGUCUUAUAUAUAAAAACAAAUAGAGUAUUAAAGUCAAUCCAAAAUAUACAUAACAUUAAGAGUGCAAUAAAUGGAAACAAUUUUAAAAUACCAUCCAUAAAUUAACACAACCUCACCAAUAUACCAGAAAAAUCAAACUUACACCCAUGCUCUAGCCAAGACUAUAGCAUGACAAAUACAUAAACCAACUAUAGGUAACUAUAAAAAUGUAGCUCUAAUCCAAGACAAAUCGUAACUAAAAAUGGUUCACUAUAUGUUUUUCCUAUUUGAUGCCACUAGUUGGAAACUAUCCUCAAAGUGUGAUGGCUAUAUUUGGUGAAUCUAGUUGUCUAUACAACAUACAUGUUAAAUUUUCACAUCCCUUGACUACAAAAAUUCGAUGUAAGUACUUAACCAAAAAGAAACUUCCAUUCCCAAUACACCAGCCAUAUGUCAAUUCAAAAGCUACCACUUUCUAUAUAUUUAUUCAUAAUCUUCCCACUUUGUUGUUGGUACCAUGCACCUAAUUAGUUGAUCUUUUUACUCUACGUUCCAGCACAAGAUACAAAGUAAUUAAUGACAUAUCAAAAAUGAAGUUUUAGUCAUUGAGAUAUCAAACAUUAGUAUAUUUUUAAAAAUUAUUAUCUCAUAAUUUUAAGUAGGUACUAUCAACAUGUUCAAGUUGAAGAAUCUAAUGUUCCAAAUAGUAUAUGGUUUAAAACUAAUUAAUGGAGAGUGGAUAUCCAUUGAUCAAUGUUAUGUUUUGGUUAUAUAUAAGUUCAAGACAUUCAAACAAAAGUUUUUUAAGUCUUUUAUUCUUUAAUUUUUUAACUUCUUGGUAUAAUUUUUUUAAUUAUUAGAAGAAGAAAGACAACUAUGAUCUUACAUUUGAAUCUCCAAUUGAGAUAAGCAGGUAAAAAAAGAAUAGAGAUAGAAAAAAAAUGAGAUGUGAUGUAAAAUGCCAGCACGAAUACAUUUCAUAAAAAGCUAACAAAUGUAGUUACACAUUUGAACAAUCUUAAUGAAUUGAGACAAAGUUAGAUUAGACUCAAAUUUUCUGGAGGUCAAUUUAACUUUGUCUCAAAAUUUCAGGAAGUCAAUCUAACUUUAUCAUAUAUUAAACACAGUCACAACAAUCGCGCAACAGUAUAUCAUUUAAGGUGAGAUUGCAUUUUUAAGGUAUAACAUUGAGUGCAGGUCUAAGCCUUCAUUAGCCUAAGGAAAUACUAAAUGAUUUAAAAAAAAUUAAAACUUAAAAAUAUUUUUUAGAAAACAUUAUCCACAAAGGAUUAAAAAAUAUGGAAUAAAAGAAGAAAGACAUUAAUCAAAUAGUAUUCAUAAUUAUACCUUUCAUUAAGUGUGUAAGUUUUAAUUUGAAUUUCAGCAUAUUAUCAAAUACACUAAUUAUACACUACUAAAAAAAUAAGUUUUAACAUUGUCUUAUUAACAUCGAUUAUUUGAAAACCGAUGUCGUUAAGCACUUACAACAUUGGUUUUCAAAUAACCAAUGUUAACAGCUUGAUUUAGUGUGAUUUUAACAUCAAUUAUUUUAAAACUAAUGUUGUAAGUGCUUAACGACAUCGAUUUUUAAAUAACUGAUGUUAACAAUUCGAUUUAAUGCGAUUUUAACAUCAAUUAUUUUAAAAUCGAUGUUGUCUAAGCACUUACAACACCGGUUUUAAAAUAACUGAUGCUAAUAUAAACUCUUUUUCUUUAAUUAUUUAUAUAUUUUUUAAAAAAUCAUAUAUUGAGUUAUUAAUUAUAUUUUAAUUAAAAAAUAUAAUAAUUAAUAAACAAUAGCAAAUUCAAAAUGUAAGCAUUUAAAAAUUAAACUAAAUUUUUAAAAUAAAUUUUGUAAUUUUAAUCUUAUUAUUUCAUGAUUAUCAUUUAAAUAUAACACACAUUUAUAUUAAUUAUUGCAUAUUAGUUCACUUGAAAAUAAAAAUAAAAAAUUGUUUUUAAUAGUAGAGUUUAACUUUUAUAGAAUUUUUAUAGAAUGUUGGUAAAAAAAAUUAUAUCAUCAAACAAUUAAAAUUUAUUAUUACUAUAUUUUAUUUAAUUAUUAUAAAAAUAAAAAUUUAUCAUACAAAAAUAUUUAUACAAACAAUGUAUAUAUUAUUUAUUAUCAAAAUGUCUAAUAAAUAUUUAAAAAGUAUAUUUUAUAAAAUAUUUGUCACCAUUCAAUAAAUAAAUAUUAAAUCAUCAUUAUAUUUUAAAUUUUCUACAAACUUAUACCUACGACUACUUUUACUUAUGGAUAUAAUUAUAAUUUAUUAUUUUUUUAAAAAAUAUUUUUUAUUGAUGUAAAUAUGUUUUGAUUUUAAUUUUAAUAUGCAUAAAUAAUUAUUAAGAUUAUUUAUUAAAUUUUAUAUUUUAUAGAAAAAAAAAAUUUGUAACUUAGUUAUAAUAUUUUAUUUAUUUAAAUAAUUUAUUUCAAUGAAAAAAAAUUUCCAUAAAAAAAAUUUCAAAAACAUAUACUAACUAACCCCUCUACGCCUCCUUUCAUAUUUUAUAUUUUAUUUAUUAUAUGAAAAUGAAAAAAGGAUAAGUUACACUUUGGCAAAUCCCUAAUGAGCCAAAAUCAUUCUAACCAUACGGUGACAUUGUUCAAACUUCGAGAUUCCUUCUUCUGCUUCGCACUUUUGAAUGCGUUCUUUCUCCACCAGCUCGGCCUGUAGCCGUCUCCACCAUGACCGUCGACCGUUGCUCUGCCGAAUUUCGCCACCUGCCAAUCACUCCUUCAAGCCUCUUCUCUCUCUCCUAACGAUGCUCUUCGCUAGUGUCGCGUGCGGCGAGAGAGAAUGUUGGUGUCGGUUGUCUUUUUCCUUGCUCUUCUCAACUUGUUUUUCUGUUGCCAAGGUACUUUCACAGUUUCAAUGUUUCACCUUAGUAUUGUUUCACUGUUUUGAUUUUCUGCUUAUCUUUGUGCUAAUUUGUGUGGUGGUAAUGAAAUUUGAAGUAAAUGUGGAAUAAUGGAAGAACAACGUAACGUACGAGUUUGUAUUAUUUGGUUUUUUAGCGCUAGUUUCGUAGUAUUGUAGCUUUUUCUUCUUCUUCCUCGUCGCUAGAGUAUAUAUGAACUAGAUGCUAACGCUUUCUCUGGAAAGUGUACGCUGCAUAGUUAAUAAUUAACAGCUAUAUGCUCCUAUUCACCAAUUUGCUAAGAUUAUAGUAGAGAUUCAUCUUACUUUAUAGUAAUUAGGUGGGUUUUUUUUAUAAAAAAAACCCCAUCAUUGGUUUGUUUUAAGAUGUUAAAUUUAGUUUUUUUUAAUAAGAUUUAGUUUUAAGAUGUUACUUAAAAAUCUAAGUGGUUUUUACGAUCUCUCAGAGAAGGAGACAAAAUUCCUAUAUGUUAUCACCAAACACACAAGUAUAAGACAACUUUUGUUGAAAUAUUUUUUUGUUCUUGUUCACAUGCAAUUCAUAUAUUGAUAUAUUACUGAAUUAUUUGUUGAUAUUUUGUAUGUAAAUUAAUUUUUAGUCCUUUCACUUGUGAAAAAAUUGGAAUUUGAUAUGCACGUAGCAAUUCAAUGGUUUGUUCUUGCUAUCAUUUUCUUGUGCUUGUGUUGGUGAAAUUUAUAAAAGUAGAACUGGUUAGUUUGAUAGGAAUGCGUAACAAGUAACAACUAUUUUUCCCUUGUGAAUGAAAACCUUAUCACUUAAAAUAAAUUGCUUUUUUUUAAAAAAAUUAUAUUGUAAUUCAUUAUGUGUUUCAUGUACUAGUCUCUUAUGUUAUGAAACUUGCUAAUGUUAAAUUCAAAUUUACAUAAAGACAAAAUAUAUGCCUUUGCUAACCGCAUCAUUGGCUUCCAGCUUACCUCAUGGAAUGUUGUAGGUUUUUUCUUUUUCUUUUUCUUUCUAUAUAUAUAUAUAUAUAUAUAUAUAUAUAUAUAUAUAUAUAUAUAUUAUGAUUUGAGCUUCACAACUGAAAAAUAAUUUCAUAAAUAAUCUAGACAUUUUUCUUUUGAAUUGAUCUGAGAGUUACUAUCAAUAGUAAAAAAUAAAAUAAAAAUGGUGCAAAUGACCAAGCUUGUAGAGUCAAAGGAAAAACUUUUCAUUUGAAUCACUUAUGAAUGCUUAUGUCUUAGUCUCUAAAAAGUUCUCAAAGGAUUGGUAGGAAGCUAUGGAGAAUCUUAGUCUCUAAAAAGUCAAUUUCUUCCCUCAUGAGGAAGCUAUGGUAUGAAUGCAGAUGAGGAAAACCUUACUUUUCAAUUUUAUUUAAUUGCACUUAAUUAACUUCUGUUUAUAGACUUUACCAUUUUGUAAAGGUUUAAUCCUCUAAUGAGGUUGUUUAUAUUACUGGAAUGAAUUUAUUAUGUAGUUUUCAAGUACUUUUUCCUAUGUAAAAAAAAAAAAAAAACUUAAGUCUGUGUUGAGUGGCUUAAGCAAUUUUGCAGUUGUUUAUAUCAACCUUUGGAACCAUUUUAAAAAUAGGAUUGGGAUUAAUUAGGUUACAAGGCCAUUAGAAAAUAGUAGAAAAUAUAUACCAGACAAAAGUUUUCAUAUAUCUUUUCAUUUAAGUCAUAUUAUAUUAUUCAAUUAAUGUAGUUAAUUGUUUGGACAUGCUUUUCCAAAAAAAAAAAAAAAAUAGUGUAACAAAGCAAACCAAUGCAUCCAUAUUUGUAUUCAAUAGUGCUUUGAAAGGACUUCAUGAUACUCAACAAAGUAAAUCAAAAUCUGCUGCUAGGUGGAUUGUUGUUAAAGUAAAUCAUUUAAACAAUAUGUUUCUACUUAUAUUUUAGUAUUGUGUAAACUAAUUUGUACUUAACGUUGAAUAUCUAAAUUUCAUAAUGUAUUUAAUGUAAUAGACAAAAAAGGAAGCAGUAAAUGUGGAUAUUACGUCAUGCACUGGAUGUCAACUAUAAUCUUAGGAAAUUUCAAAAAUAAUUGAGAAAUGGUAAUUUUUAAUUCACCAAAUUUUAUUUUGUUAUGAUUGUUAUUAUAUUAUUAACUUAUGUUUUAUUAUAUCAUACAAUAUUUUACUGAUGCUAGACCAUUUAAACUAGAGAAAUUGAAGGCACUUCACAUCCAGUGGGCAAAGUACUAUUUGAAAGUUAAAAAUGAAACUUAGAAUUUUCAAGCAAUUUUGUAAUUGUAGUUUAUAUUUACUUACUUUACAUUUUUUACAAUUUAUAUCUCAACAUUAAAUAUGCUUUUAAUUCAUAGUAAUUAGUAAAUUUCUCAUGAAAUUUUUUAUAAAAGUUGUUUUAAAACAAAAUGAAAAUUGUAUGUUGUGUGGUCUGGUUUUAAUAUUUGCAGGUUAAUUUUGGAUUUAUUGAAAAAACAAACAACAUAUUAAAAAAAGUUUUAAAACAACAUCAAUUUUUAACCGAUUUUGUUAGUCACAGUUAACAUCACUUUUUUUAAAAAACCGAUGUUGUUAGUAUAAGAGAAAAUAGAUGUUGUUAGUGACAGUUAACAUCGAUCUUUUAAAAAACCGAUGUUGAUAUGUAGAUUUAUAACUUUCUUUUUUCAUAAUUCUUAUUAUAUAAGAUAGGUUAUUUAAAUAACUGAUGUUGUAUUUAUUAGUUAACAUCAAUUUUUUUGAUGUUAAAAAAAUUGAUGUUAACGAUAUUACUUUCAACAUCGGUUAAUAAGCAAUGUUAAAAAUCUUAAAUAACCGAUGUAAAAAUCUUAUUUUCUAGUAGUGAUAUAACGAAAAGUUUAUUAUUUUCAAUGCAGAAAAAAUAUAAAAAUAAAUCAUUAGAAGUAAUAAAAAUUAUGUUGACGGUCUUACUAUGUUGGUGUGUUCUAAACACUAAAAAUGAAUGACAAACGUGAAUAAUACACGAUACAUGUUGGCAAUAAUCAUACAGAUAUGAAUUAUCAUUUAUAGGAUUUUAAGUUAAACAACAACUAGUAUUAUGAGAAAAAAAAAGUCCGUGACUGAACUUAUACAUGGCAAAUGAAAAAUUAAGAGAAAAUAGAUUAGUUGAUAUCAAUGAAAGAAAUUUUAAUGAAAAGGAAAAUGGUAUUGUAAUUCUUCUGAUGAAAAAUUAGUACACAUUCAAAAUUACCUCACUCCAACUUUUCUUUAUCACGGAAAGCUCAUUAUUUUUUAUCCUGCAAACAAAGAAAGCGACACAAGAAAACUAGCAAAUUGAAUUUUAGACAAAAAUAAUCAUAUUACAUUAAUUUCAAACCUAUGAAUCACACUUCAAGACAUCUUUAUUGAAAUAUUUGUGCAUUAUCAAAUUUUUUAAAAAAAAAUCAUUUCAUAUGUAGUUUGCCUCAUCCCUUGUUCGCCAUGUUAGUGGUACUUACAUGACACUGAAAAAAAAUUCUAUAAUAAAUAAAAAGUAACAAAGGAGUAUACGUACAGAACUUGCAGCUACCACAGACCAACUAUUUUUGCUACAUGUCCAUAAAGAAAAAUCACAAACGAAUUACUCUAACCUACAACCUUCAACCAAUAUUUCCAAGAAAUUUUUUUUAUAUCUCUAUCACCCUUUUCGCCAUUUGAAAGAAAGAAAUACUAACAGAAAUUUGAUGUUGAAUUGGACUAAAAAAUGAACAGAUGAUGGGUAUAUAUAAUACUGGAUGCUAUGAAAUGCUUUGCAUUUUUUCAAGGCCUUAUGCAUUCCCAAGAGUGUAUUUAUUUGGUUGUUUUUAUCAACAAUAAACGUUGGAAUGAUCAAUACCAUUCACUCUUCGCUUGCUAAUACAAACUGGAGAUAAUGUAUUAACGGUGCAUUAAAUUGGUGAAGUUGGUAUCGGAACUCAGAGAUCAUUAUUGGAAUCAAGCACCUUGUGUGAAGAAUUGUGUGCAGAGUAGGAUCCCUUUUGACAUUAUUGAAUUUUAUUGAAUAAAUAGAUAAAAAAUAAUAAUUUAUCCAAUUAAUAACAUUAGAAAUCGUUGUUCUAUAUAACAGCAUUACAGCACUAGAGCAUCUUCCGCAUUCAUAACGUCUGCGAAUAGCCGAAUACUUAUUGCAUUUGGUUUCUAUAAUAAUUACAAAUUUAUUAAUGAUCAUGGGUAGAUGAAGUUAUGGCACAAGACAAGUUGUCUUAAUUGUCUGCAUUCAGAUGAUGGUAGGGCAUAAAAAAAUUACUAUUACUUUCUCCAUAUGACAUUUUUUUAAAUUUAGUUUUAAGUUAUAAAAUAAUUAAAAUUUAUAUUACUAAUUUAGGAAGUUUCUUAUUAAUAAAAUAAAAUUUUCCUUGCUAAUAUCUUCCAUUUCUUUUUUUAUUUAAUUAUAAAAAAAUAAAUUUCUUUCUAUUUAAUGUUAUUCAUAUGACUUUAUUCUAUUCUAAAUUACAAUAAACAAGCAAUUAAUAAAUUGGAAAGUGUGUUUAUCCUUUGAAUUAUUUUCUUUAAAUUUUAAAAUAUAUCAUAUUUUAUAUUUGAUUUUUUUAUUUUCUUAAAAGUAUUAGUAAAAUAUGAAAAUUACUUGUAAUAUUAGCUUGUUUGAAAUCUGAAUCACAUUUCCGUUAAUGGAAUAAAUUUCGCACGCUAGUGAGUGAAAUUUACCGAAUUAAUUCUGAUACGAGUAAAAUGUUAAAAAUUUUCAUUCUAUAGAACUAAGUUACAUUUAUAUACUAAAUUUCAAAAAAUAUAUUUAUUUUGAUGCAUUAAAAUUAAUUUUAUUUUACUCUCUAAAUAAAAUCAUUUUGUCUAAAGUCACUUUUAAAAUACCAUUCACAACACAAAUUAAUGUUUUAACAUCAAAUCACAACCAUUGAAUCUAUAUAUUAAUAAUAUAAUAAAUUUUAAAUUAUCAUUCAAUCACAAAUUGAAUUAAAUUAAAGUGUAUAAUAAGUUUUUUGAACUUUGACUGAUAAAAAAAAGUUUAUUAAACUUUACAAUAAUAAUUUUUAACAAUGAAUAGUGUAAAAAUUUUACGUUCACAGAAAUUUAAUUUUUUAAAAAUUAAUUAUUUAAAGAAAAAGAAGAAAGUGAAACUUACUCCAAACUGGUUGAGAAUUUAACAUCUAGUAUAAAUUAUAAAAGAACUUGAAACGGCCACUUUGGAAGCUUGCAAGUUAUAAGUGUAGUGUUAUUAAAUUUUGAAAUUAAAUGUCGAUUGUGACUGUCGUUAGUGGUUGUCAUGGACAUGGUGGGUGACCGACAAAUUCGGCGCAUCUCAGUAUAUGGAAGAAAAGGAAGUUUCCACUUUCCUCCACUCCAUCAUUAAGAAUUUCAGAUACAAUUGCUGUAAGUAAAUGUUACUAAAAAUUACUUUAUAUAAUUCAAAAUCCAAUCAAAAUAUGAAAAAAUUAUUCUGAUCUCUAUAAUUACACAACUUUAGUUUUUAGUCACUAUAUUUAAAAAUCAUUCAUUUUAAUGUCUAUACCAGUAACACCUUUAAAUUCCUUUUAGUCUUUAUCAUAACACAAACAUAUUUUAGUUCUUGUAACAGGAAGGAUCAAAAGAGAUCCUAAAGUGAUUAUACACAACUAAAAGAUAUAAUUUUUAAUUGUAAGGACUAACAUGUAAAAUUUUUCUAACUAUAAUUAAGAUCAAAAGAAUAAUUUUUCCUUAAAAUAUUAAUGAAUGUAAUUUUUGCCAAAAACUUAUAUGUUUAACAUUAUUUUGAGAAAUUAAUUAUGCAUACAAAAAUUUGAACCAACUUAAACAACUUUUGGGUUAAAACCAAAAUUUGUAUUAAAAUUUACUACUGAUUUGUUUUUAUAAUAAAGUUUUUAAAUAUACUUGAUUUCAAAGGCAAUUUUAUUUGUGGGUCUAGUUUAGUUAGUUGAACAAGAAAGUGUGAGUUGUUAUAAACCUCCUAAUACCAUCUUCAAUUCUCAUAUAUGAAAAAAAUGCAAUUUCAUUCAAAAUUUCCUUGAUAAAAAAAAACUAAUCAAGUAAAUAAUCUGAUCUAAGUUUUCAAUUCAAAAUCAUUUUUUGUAAGAUUAUAUUGCACGAUUAUUAUAUGACCCUAAUAUUAAGCAUUGCUGAAAUAUACUAGUGUUCUUUGCUAGAGCCAAGAAGCUCCCUUUAUUACAUGUACAAGAUAAAGUAGGUGGUGUUUGCAUGAUCUUCGAAACAUGAACGAUACAAUGCAAGUUGUUCCAUGCGUGAUGCUUGAGUAAGGUUCUGUCUUUGGCUACUUAAUUAGCCCUUUUGCUGGAAAAGUUUGCUUGGUGAGUUGCAUUUCCUGGUAACUUUGCCUCAGUAGCAAGCAACUGUUGCAAUUGGAAUACCAAAGCAAAGUGCUCCAUGGUAGCUUUGUGAAGGGAUUAACUGAGUAACAAAGCUUAAAGGAAGAACAACGCCAUUAACUUUUAAUAUUUCGUUUGUUUUAUACAUAUAGGUGUUUGAUUUUUUUUUAUUAGAGUUUUGGUUUAGUCUCCCAUGAAGCCUAAUUAGUUAGUGUAUGUUUGAAUUUUAGUUAAGAGUGAUCAAUAGUAUUUUUAUUCUCAAAGCAAUAUUCCCGUUUUUCAUUUUAUACAUUAGAGUUUACAAAAAUAUUUUUUCAACUUUUAUCCAAACAUAUAUAUCCUCAAUCAAUGAAUUGACUUUUCUUUUCCUUUUCAAUUCACAUUACUUGUCUUUAUUUUUUCAACAAAAGAAGGAUGCAUGUGUACACAUUCUAAUGAUAUUUUUACUAAUAAAACAGAGUAAGAAAUAAAUAUCCUUAAUCAUAAUGAUUUUAUGCAUCUAAAAAUAGUUUUAUUGCAUUUGGUCUUAAUUUGAAAUUUUCAAAAAACUUAACCCAAAUUAAAUAUGAACUAUAACAAUGGCUUUCCAUUUGUUUGAUUGGUAGUGUAAAAGUCAUUUUUUUUCUUUUAACAGUAACAUAUUUUUAAUCAAUGCUCUUAAUUUUAACACUAACGUCUAACUCUUAUAUGAUGACAAAAGUUGAAGAAUAUGUAUAUAAUGCAAUAAUUCUUUUAUUCGUAUAUAAUACAAUAAUUUGAUAACAACUAAUAAGUCUUUUUUUUUUUGUACCGGUCAUUUGUUGAAUGAGUCUAUAAAUAUGAUUACGAUUAAGCUAAAUACUUUAGAAUAUAUACUUCAAAAAUGAAUAAUUAAUAAGUAUUCCAAAUACUUUCACCGAUGAUAUAAAUAAAUAUGCUGUGUGAUAAAAAAAAAUAUAAAUAUGCUCUGGGAGCCGAACAAGAUUCCUUUCUGUCCACACAUAAAAGUCUUUUACAUUCUCCAUUUUCUUCUUUAACCAAGCUUAAGUUCCUCAAAAUUUGCUACCCAAUUAUUAUAGAUCAAAAGAUGAAUCCAGAUUAAAAAUGCCUUUUUUCUGGCUUAGCUAGAUUCAUGUAAUGUCUCUUCGAAUUGAAUGCUUUGAUUUGUUAGCACGUACAAAAUUAUACAAGCUAAUUAAUUAGACCAUGAAAAAAAAUGGUAUUUGUGUGGAUGGUGUUUCUAUCUAUCAUGUGAUCCAGGGUCGUUGUCAUGUUUGGAGUAUAUGCAGGUUUGUAGUCAGGUUUUCCUACUUUGGUGCGAACUCGUAGUUAAUAGUUAGUUUAGGCAGCCAUAGACGAUGACAAUGAUAAUGUCUUGGCACCAUCACCUCCAUCCUAUUUUUUUUCAUAUAUAUAAACAGUGAGCAUAGUAGUUAAACAUUCAGGUUAUAAUUGAACAUGGUAAAGUUGGGAAGUGAAAUAAAAUGAUGUUAUGUCAUUUCAUCGUUUGGGAUGAAUAUGUUUUGUCCUUUUUUAAAACGUAUAACGUUCCAAUUACAUAUAUUGGGUUUGUGAAAAGUAAAUUGUUUCUUAUGUAUAGAAUAAAAAAAGUGGCCGGAUUUCUCUUUUUUUUUUAGUCAGAGAAAAUAAGUACCAUAUCACCAUUAUUGUUGCUCUUAUCACGGGAGUCCAAACUUUGAGAGACAAAAUUAGUUAACAAAUCACAAGUUUAAUAUAUACAAGAAAUUUAAUAUAUAAUUAAUAUUUUUUUAUAAAUAACAUAUAUAUAUAUAUAUAUAUAUUUGUAUUGAGUACAAAAAUACUGAAUAAAAAGAAAAAUAUAUUAAAUGAAUAAAGUAAAAGUUUUUUAUAUACUUUAGGAGUCACGAAUAUUUUUUUAUAAUAAUUUAAGAAAAAAAUUGAGAGUGAUCACAUGACUCAGAGGCUCUCUCUUACUCUGUAUGCUUAAGAAUAAGAAAGUGAAAAAUCUUAUAUAAAUAGAAUAGUGAUAGAUAGAUCGACUUGCCUAUGUGGCAUAUUUUAACGAGUAAUAUUUUUUAAUAAUUAAAAAAGUAUUUUUUUUUUAUCAAAAACUAAAAUAAAGAGGGAAGAGGCAUAACCAUCCACUCCUCAUGGCACACUACACGAUUUCAAAAUCACAAGGGCAACCUUUCAUUGUCGCACCUCUUGGCAGUUUGAGCACAUAGUAGAUCAUCACAACCUGAGCACGUCUCACAUCAUUGUCGCACAUUGUUGCAGCCUUAGCACAUCUCAAAUUGUCGCAUUGAGCAUCGUCACACAUCAUCGUAGUCUGAGCAUCAUCUCAGAUCGUCACAAUGAGAAUGUUGUACAUCACUGUCGUCGCAGCCUGAGCUUCACUUCACUAAAUUCAGAGUUGCUUCACUUUUCAGUUCAAGCAUCCACUAACUACUCUUUAUCCCCAAUUUUCACCACUUUAGUCUUCAUAAAUCUUCUCAAGUAACUCUAAUAUCUAGUUUGUAAAACCUUUCAACUAUUUCAUGGCUUUGUGAUCUGUAUCCCUUUGAAUUGGAACCUUGGAUUGUAAAUCCCUAAUUGCAUAAUGUGGUAUUUGUUAUAAGAAACCAGCUCCCUCUAAUAUUACCUGUAAGCACGAAUUGGUAUGUUUCUACAUUAUGGGGCAACCCAUAAUUUGUAUAUCUAUUCUUAUUUUUUUCUGUAAGAAACAAACAUAUAUAUUUUUAGUUUGGGUCCAUAAACAUUAAAAAAAACACCUUUACUUUUAGCUUUCACCUUAAUUUUUUGGUUCACUUUAGGAACUAGGAUGUUUCUUUUAUUUUUGUGAAACAGGAAAGGCUUCCAUAAUUUAUAUUGAAGAUUCAGUCAUUCAAAAGAUUUAUAGCUAUGAUGUUAAUUUUUUAAAACUAGAAAAUCCAAUGAGAAUGAUCAAAAGUAGUAUCAAUAUCUUAGAGCUUCUUGAAUUAGCCAUUAACCAUUGAGGCAUGUGUUCUUGAAUUGAAACUUGGCACCCACUAUGUGUCAUUUAUUGUUAUGUGUAACUAGUAGCAUUUGUUAAUGUUGUUAUUAUUUACUUGUUAGUGUCGUUGUUAUUUGGCCUCAUGAUUUUUUAAUUGAUGUACAAAUCAGAAUUUUCAUAGUGAUCUUUCUGAGAUAUUCAAAUCAGAGGACAUGGAAAUAAAAAUACCAGGAAAGACAUGUAUUGUUAUUAGAGCUAAUUCUAGAAUUGGCUAUGCAAUUGUUGAGGGUCUUGCAAAGCAGUUUUCAUCUUUCUCCUAUGUUUGUUUUUGGAAUUUUGUACUUUUAAGUUUGAAAUUAGAUAUUAUGAUUAAUGAAACUGUCUAUCUUGUAUGUCGUAAUAAGGAGGGGUUGCCCUUUUUGAUAUUCAAACUAAAAUUGGCCAUCAAAAUGUAUAUUUGGAAUUAUAAAUAUUUUUUCAUGUAUUUCAAUUCACUAAUCUUUUGUUUAAUUUUCAAAAUCAAAGGCACACGAAUUUCCUAAUUUCAUGCAUUGUACAUGAGUUUUAUUAUGGAACCUUCUAUAAAUUAGUAGAUAAGCUGAAAGCAUUUGAAAAUUUUAUGAUUUUAUAUGACUAUCUAAUUUAUCUAGCAGAUUAGUGACCUUUCUAUUGUCAAUGAGAUAAAGUCAUUCGCUUCCAAGUUUUCUAAAAAGAAUGUAUCAGUUCAUGUGUUAGUAAAUUAUCGAUUGUAUUUGUUGAUGGAUUGACAUGUGUACCAAUUCAUCCUAAGUAGUAAAGUUAAAACGGGAAUCCGAGUAUCCAUAGGGACUUUGUUCGUACUUAUGUAGAUGAAAAUUUCAUUAAGAAAAAGAUUUAGAAAGGUUGUAGAAAAAACAGUAAUUUAAAUUGGCAGAAAAUUAAAUCAAACAAGAAUUUAAGUUAAUUAAUUAAUUAAAGACAUAAAAGAUGAGAAAAUCCAAUAUUAUUGUAGAAGGAAAUUCAAAAGAUAAGAAUGUUGGGAACUUAGCCUACCAGAGUUACUCUUUGAUGUAAUGUUAAUGAUUUUUCUCUAUUUAUAGUUAUUCCAAUUUAUACUUGUAUCUACUAGUAUACUCUAACUUUGGUCCCCCGGGUGAAAGAGCCUAAUUUCUCUAUUUUCUCUCUCAAAUCCCUUUGCAGAGCUAAGAUAGUAAAUUGCAUUAAGAAUAGAGAUUUAUAACAGGCUAAACAAAUAUCAACAUAUCCCUAGUGAUGACUUUAUUUAGAUAUCAUUUCCCAGUUCUAUUAGAAAAUAAUGUUUCCCAACGCUACUCCUAAAACUUACCAUGCAAAUGAGUGAUCAAGCCACAAGCAAUAAUAUUAGGAAAAGAUAAUGCAAAUGUAAUAUUCAUAAAUAGAUAGGAAGAUAAAUUACAUCAAGAGUAGUUGAUUGUCAAGUUUCCAACAAAAGAGGUUUAGCCUCUCAUUGUCAUGGAGAAUUUAUAAUUGCAAGAGGAAAAUAUUUAGUAAAGGGGGAAAAGAUAAGAAAGGAAAUGGAGGGAAGGAAUGACUCCCAAUGUUUGUCUCUCCUUCUUCUAGCCUUUGCCUUCUAUAAGAAAUUAUAUUCUCCUGGAAUUUCUGUGUGUCUUUUUCUUCUUCUCUCUUCUUCUUUUAUAGGUGCAGAUUAGCGAGCUUCUUGCACUAAACCCACCUUUACUUUCCUUAAUUAGUCAUGCUUUCCUUAAUUAUUCUUCUUUCCAUAAUUAACCAUAUUUUCCUCAAUUAGUCUUCUUUCCUUAAUUAGUCCUACUUUCCUCAAUUAGUCUUCUUUCUUUAAUUAGCAUUGUUUUCCUCAAUUAGCUAUAUUUCCUUAAUUAGUUUUAUUUUACUCAAUAAGCAUCAUAAAUUCAUCACUUUUAAUAUUCUCUCCACAAAAACUUAAAUGAUUUUAAUUUAACAAUUAUUUGCUCAAAAAAGAAAAAUUAGGAGAGAAAAAUUACAAAUUCCUAUAUAAUUUAACCCCAAAUAUACUUAUAAUUAACAAUUAUUAGUAUUUCAACAAAAUAUAAUACUUCCCAACAUAGUUGUAGUUGCUGGUAGUUUCAUCGUGUGAACUUCAUGAAUACAUGUGGAGUGUGGAUUGCUGAUGGAUACUUUUUCAUUCCAAGAAAUUACAAUGUACAACUUCUAUUAUGUAUUGUUCAAUAAGAAAAUAGAACUACUAACAUGGUAAAUAUAUUUGUAAGCCACUUUAGGCUCGAGUAAAUCUAAUGUGAACAUAAUUCUUGCAUCUAGGUUAGCAAUGUUGGCACACUUAAGAAAAAUCAAGUUAUCACCUCAAAAGAAUGGGUCAUUUUUGUUUCAUAUGGAAAAAAGAACAUUUGCAAAUUCUACCUAUAACUUGAGUUGAUUUAUGCCUUUUAAUGUAAUAUGUCAUAGUCCAAGUUUGAGUUCAGCUUUGUUGUAAAUUAGUAGGCAUACCAUGACAUAAUUGAUGGUACCAUUACUAGAAAAAGCUUCCCCUAAUGCACCUAUCAUUACAGUUUCUUCCUAUGGAAUGUAUACUACUCCUUUGACCAAGGAUGUAAAGGUAACUUAAGUUAUGAUGUUGUCAACCUACUCAUCAUGGAAUAAAGGGACCAUUCUCAAGGGUUUUUCCUCUUAUUCUUUCAAGAGGACUAAUAUGAUGCUUGGCUUAUGUACCAUAGCAUCUCUCUUCUCUAUAGAGAAAGCAUGGCACCAAAGCCAAUGGAAGUGAAGGAGUCCAAGAAGGGUAGAGGGUAGAGACAAAAAUGACGACUCCAAGAAAAAUCUCCAACUCAAAGUUCACAAGCUGAGCCCAAUUCAUACCAUCUCAUAUGUUCGGGUAUAUAAUUUUGUUCCCUGCUUUAUGUGAGUUGUUACACAAAGCACUUAUUUUUUCUAAUUAUAAAUUUGUUUCCUUCAAAUAUUGGGGACUAAAAUGGAUACUCAAUGUACUUCACCUUUUGUUAUGUUUUUCUUCGAUAAUCAAAGAUUACAUUCAAUGUUGGGGAGGUAAGUCUUCUUUGUCUCUAAGUUGCAAUUACAUUCGGAUAUUCUAAUCAUAUUAUUAUCUACUUUCUUAUCUUUGUGUGGAGGCUUAAGAUUUAAAUAAUGAAUACCCCUCAUAUUUAAUUCGGGAUUGCAAAGGUUUUGCACAAAUCAUAAGAUUAAGUUAUCAAAGGUAUGAUAUAUCUUAACCUUGAAUAGUUUCUUUUAACUUGUAAAUUUUGAUAAUUUUUUUCCUAUAAAUAUAGUCUUUGAUAGAAAGCUUUUAACAUCAUUCUGUUCAGUCUCUUUAUAAAGAAUAAACAAAGAAUUAGUGGCUGAAUUCCAAUCCCUACAAUAUGAAGGCUCAGAAUUUCAAUUGUGAACUAGAUGCUGAAUUAUUUUUAGUUAUUUAUUUUUAAUUGAUGAUGCCUAAAGCCAAAUUUAUGCUUAGAAUUAGAAACAUACUUAGAACUUGAUUGCGUCUUGAAGUUUCUUUUUCUAUUAAUUAUUUUAAAAAAAUUUAAUUAUAAAUUUAGCAUGUGUAUAGUGCAUACAAGCACAUAAUUUGUGGUUACUCAGAGUAAAAGUUGAAGGCAACCACUUCAUUCCUUGUUGUCAAAUUUAUACUUGGCAUUGCCGCAAAGUGGGAAAUAGGACUAAGAAAUGGUCAUUAGAUCAUACAUAUGCUAGUGUGAUGGUUUCAUCAGAGUUUUGUUGCAUUGGUAAAACUGUUAGUAUGACAAUUUCUUGACCUUUAGAUCAGAUAUCUGACCAAAAACCUUAUGAUAGAAUUUAAUGGUUUGGAAACUAUUAGCUACUAGUUGCAAUGGUGUGAUUGUCUCAUCAGAGUUUUGUUUUAUUUAUUAUUGUUGUUGUUUUUAACUUUUUGGUGUUAUCAUCUUUUUUAAUAUACAAGUUAUCUUGUAAUUUAUAUAGUUUCCUCUCUACCUACAUGUGCAUGAGAAAAUUGUAUAUCAUGGGUUCAUGUUACCUAUUAUAACAUGCAAGACACAAAGUUUCUUAAUCGAUGUAUAAUAAUUGAACUAAGAGCUUUAUGUUGUUCUCUAUAUUACAAUGUGGUAGUUCAUCUGGUUAAAAUAAAGUGUUCUUAAUUGUUUUUGGUUAUGAAAAUUGUGUAACUAUGGUAUAUCUGAAUCAAGAGUUGACACUUGAUUCGGAUAUACCAUAGUUAUCCGUAAAAUUAAGGUUACAUUAUUAACUUAAGUGGUUACAUUCGAUUGCAUUUUAUUUUAAAGCCAAACUUUCAUUAUAAACUACAAAAAAUGAUGAUCCAAAAUGAUUUGAUAAGUGUAUAAUGUGCAUGUUAACUUUUACUAUUUUUUUAAAUUUAGGCAUACCAUUUAAAAGAAAUUUGUAUUCAUGCUACGAAUAAGGUGGUUAAGUCUAUAAUAAACAAAUGUUAUCCUUUUACCAUUGAUGGUUAACUCUAACUCUUCUAAUAUUAUUACUCAAAAGUCACAUGCAAAUAAGAUUUUCUUUGACUCAUGCCUUAAAGACUAAACUUGCAUAAGCAAAGCUUGUGUCAUGUCAUAAGAGGAAAUAAUUCUACUUGUACCAAUGGAAUCAUGUAAGUUAUAUUUACUAGUUAAUUAUGCGCAAAGUUAAAAUUACAUUAGUAACUUAAUAGUUACAUUUGAUUGAAUUUUGUUUUACAUAUAAACUUGUAUUGGUUAGUUAUGCUAAAAGUUAAGUUUAUUUUAGUAACUUAAGUGGUUACAUUCGGUAGGAAUUCGUUUUACUUCAAAACUCCCAUCGGUUAAUUAUGCCGAAAGUUAAGAUUACUUUAAUAAUUUAAGUGGUUACAUUCGAUUGGAUAUCAUUUUAUAUCCAAACUUUCACUGGUUAGAUAUGUGAAAGUUAAGAUUACUUUAAUAAUUUAAGUGGCUACAUUCGAUUGGAUAUCGUUUUAUAUCCAAACUUUCACUGGUUAGUUAUGCAAAAGUUAAUGUUAUUUUAGUAACUUAAAUGGUUACAUUUGAUUAUAUUUCAUUUUACAUUCAAGCUUUCACUUGUUAGUUAUGACCAAAGUUAAAGUUACUUUAGUAACUUAAGUGAUUACAUUCGAUUGAAUUUUGUUUUACAUUCAAACUUUCACUAGAAACUACAAAAAAUGAUCAUCCUAAAUGAUUCAAUAAGUGUAUAAUAUAACUUAUAUUCUCUUAUAAUUGUUUUACAUUUAGGACACAAAAUAUAAUAAAAAUUUGUAUUCGUGUUAUGGAUAAGGUGAUUAAGUCUAUAAUAAACAAUGGUUAACCCUUUCUCAUUAGUGGUUAAUUCUAAUUAUUCUAAUAUAAUCACUCAAAAGUCACGUGAACAGGAAUUUGUUUGUCUGAUGUAUGAAGGACUGACUGAACUUAUAUGAGGAAAGCGUGUGUCAUGUAUUUUGAGAAUAAUUAAACCUCUAUCAUAUGAGGAUCAUGAAAGUUACAAUUACCAGUUAGUUAUGCCCAAAAUUAUGAUUACUUUAAUAACUUAACUGGUUAUAUACGAUUGGGUUUCAUUUUACAUCCAAAUAUUCAUUAGAAACUACACAAAAUGAUGAUCCUAAAUGAUUUCAUAGGUGUAUAUUACACAUGGUAACUUUUACUAUUAUUUUAAAUUAACACAUCUUAUAUAUGAUGAAUAUUUGUAUUCAUGCUUUGAUUAAGGUUGUUAAGUCUAUCAUAAUUGAUGGUUAACUUGAUAUCAUUAGUGGUUAACUUUAAUCCUUCUGAUAGUAUUACUCAAAAGUCAAAUGUAAACAAGAAUUUCCUUGGCUCGAGCCUAGAAAGCUGAACUUGUAUGAAAAAAUCAUGUGUCAUGUCGUCUAAGAGAAUAAUUCUAUCUGUACCAAGGGAAUCACCCAAGCUACAUUUAUUGGUUGGUUAUGCGGAAAAUGAAGGUUAUAUUAGUAACUUAAGUAGUCACAUUCAAUUGAAUUUAUUUUACAUUCAAACUUUUUAUUAGAAACUGCAAAAAAAGAUGACCCUAAAUGAUUUGAUGAGUGUAUAGCGCACAUGUUAACUCCAACUAUUGUUUUAAAUUUAGGCACACCAUAUGAUAAAAAUUGUAUUCAUGCUAUGAAUAAGGUGAUUAAGUCUAUAAUAGAUGUUGGUUAACUUUUUUUUUUUUUAUCAUUUGUGAUUAACUCUAACCCUUAUAAUAUUGUUAUUCAAAAUUCACAUGUCAAUAUAUUUUCUUUCGCUCAUGCUUGAAAGACUAAAGUUGUAUGAGCAAAGCAUGUGUCAUGUUAUCUGAGAGAGAAUAAUUCUACUUAUACGAAGGGAAUCGCACAAGCUACAUUUCCUUGUUAGUUAUGUGCAAAAUUAAGUUUAAAUUAGUAACUUAAGUGGUUACAUUUUAUUGAAUUUCAUUUUACAUUCAAACUUUUAUUAGAAACUACAAAAAAGAUGAUCCUAAAUGAUUUAAUAAGUGUAUAAUGUGCAUGUUAAUUCUUACCAUUGUUUUAAAUUUAAGCAUAACUUAUGAUGAAAAUUUGUGUUCAUGCCAUGAAUAAGGUGGUUUUGUCUAUAAUAAACAAAGAUUAUCCUUUUAUCAUUGGUGGUUAACUAUAACCCUUCUAAUACUAUUACUCCAAAGUCACAUGUGAACAUGAUUUUCUUUGACUGAUACCAAAAAGACUAAACUUGUAUGAGCAAAGUUUGUGUAAUGUCACUUGAGGAAAUAAUUCUUCUAAGAGAAUCAUACAAAUUACAUUUACUGGUUAAUUAUGUGUAUAGUUAAGGUUACAUUAGUAAAUUAAGUAGUUAGAUUCGAUUAGAUUCAUUUUACAUCUACACUUUCAUUAGAAACUAAAAAAAUGAUAAUCCUAAAUUAUUUGAUAAGUGUAUAAUGAACAUAUCAACUCUUACUAUUGUUUUAAAGUUAAUGCACAUCAUAUGAGGAAACUUUGUAUUCAUGCUAUGAAUUAGGUGAUUUAAGUCUAUCAUAAAUAAUAGUUAAACUUUUAUCAUUUGUGGUCAACUCUAACCCUUCUAAUAUUAUUACUAAAAUGUCAAAUGUGAAUAUAAAUUUCUUAUGCAUCAAGAACUGAACUUAUAUGAGGAAAGCAUAUGUCAUGUCAUUUGAGAAUAAUUCAACGUCCAUUAUACGGGGAUCACACAAGCUACAUUUAUUGGUAUUUUUUUCAUUUUUGAGAUAAUUAUUAUUCAUUUAUCAUUUGAUAAGCCAAAAAAGUGGUUAAUGAUAGAUACAUAUCGAUAAUUUUGUUGCACAAGGGGUUGGCUAUUGAGACCUUAAUUUAUGUUUAUCCGUUUUGUAGGCAAUGGUAGCCAUAAUUUUAUAUGUACUUAACAAUAACCUACAAUAUUAACAACAUUUUAGUCAAAAUUAACCAUCCUUUCAAAUGUAGUUAACCAUAGACAAUAUUGAAUAACCUUAUGAAAUUAAUCAUUUGUGGUACAAGUAUGGAGUGAAAUGCAGAUCUAUGUGUAAGAUUAGUUAAUUUUCAUCAUCACCAUUCAUUUUCUUGAAAUUAAUGGGGGGGUGGGGGGGGGGGUAAGAUUAGUUACUUCAGCUCAUAAAGAACUACAUGGCCUAAAAGGCAUAGUAGUAUGAUCACACUCACGAGUUAUUAUACAUCAGAAUAAGCAAAGUUAUUUAAAAGAAUCAGUUAUCUACAAUUCUAAAUGUGAAACUCCCACAAGCAGGGUAAUAAUAUUUACAAAAAAUAAACAUACUAUAACUGCUGAAAGAAAAAUGAAAAUGUUGAAUUCUAAGAACACAAUAAUAAUGGGAAAAAAGGAAAGGAAAAGACAGGAAAUAAUUUUACAAGCACUUGCUAUGCACUAUUUUCUACUAUGUCAUGAGGAUGUGAUUGAGAUCUUCACAACAAAAUUAAUGUUGCAUGCCAAUACCAAGAUUCGCCUUAGGAUAGUUCUUAUAUUAACACCACAUAAAUAGAAGUCCACCCAAGUGUCUGGUUCUUUUUCUUUACCUGGUUCCUUCUCUCUAGUUUCUUUUAUUAAGCUUCUUUAGACCAAACCAACAAAAAAAUGUCAAUUAUAUAUUAGUGGAAGAGAUCAUAUGCCAAGUUCAAGGGCAAAUUCAUCCAAUUCCCAAAAGUAUUUGCUUGAAAUUCCUUUGGUGUGUUGGAUCGUGCAUUAGUGUAGGAUAACUUAGAUUCAGUUUGUUCCCUUCCCUGAGAAUAUUGCAUAAAAUUAGUGUGUAAAUUCUGACAUAUAUAUAGACAAGGUAAUUUAACAAGUAAAAUGCACUUAAACUUGUUAAAAGUUUAGAGUCACAUAAAACUCAUGCAGAUCCUACAUGAAUGGUAAAAGAUUAUUGUAUAUCAUACACAUACAGUCAUACAGACUCAAUGGAGAAAAUUAAGCAACAAAUGGCCGAACACACCAUCAUGCAAACAUGCAACAUAAGUUCUAAUUUCUAUCAACACAAUAUAAGCCCAUUGAACAUUUUACCUUGAUCACUCUUCUUCAACCUUUAAACAAACUGUUUUUUUUAUGAACUAGGUUGGGGAGCCAUGGUUAAAAUAUGUAUGAAAAGCUUGACAAGAUGAGGUAGCCAUGGCAUGUGGGACACACCAUUUUUUUACCCACAUAUAUAAGGGCUCAUAAAAAACAAUGCAUGGCCAAAUAAAAAUCAAUCAAUCCUCUAUGUUGAUGUCUCAAAUCAAGUCUUUCUCUUGGACAUUUUUUUCCACACAAACAUACGAAGCAACGCAAGUCAAAAGACAAUAAGAAAACUUGUAAAUGAAGGGGAGUGUAUGCUAUUAAAAUGUAUAACCAUACAAGUAGAUUUCUAAUAAUUUUUUUUGCUAAUAUAACUAUCACAUAACAAGGCUCACAUUUUCUUGGCACCAAAAAAGAAAAAGUUAGGAGGUUGAGAGUGGAGUGGAGCUCAUAUGCACUCCAAAUCACAAAUUUUGGGAACUAGAAAAGCAAUUAGAAACAAAUUUUCCACCUACCAUUUCACAAGAAAAAAUUAAAACCUUUAGAAGCUAUGCAACAUUUCUUUAAAAAAUUAGGAUGCAAGUAUGACAAAAUAUGAUGCUACACAUAAAUAUACCCAAAAAGUAGAUAAGCAUAAAGUUGUGGGUAAGAAAUAGGCAAAUACACGACCAACAAAGGUUGCAGAACAACCACCUAUAGGUUGGUGCCAACCAAUGCAUCUAGGAUUCUUGUCCAUUUCAAGUAUAAAAAUAAAUAUGGAGAAUAUUUUAAACAAACAAGGUGUUAUUAUUAAAUCUAUAUUCCAAAUCACCCGAACAACACAAAACCAAAUUGAAAUGUUCAUAGAAUGCCUAACAUACAUAUAAAUCUAAGAAUCAAUCCAAACAAAAUGCAAAAAAUCUCCGCAUAAAACACAUAGUACAUACAAAUCAAUAAAUCUCUAAAGAAAUACAGAAUGAAACACAUAUAAUACAUACAUACGACAAAAAAUCAUGAAGAAACACAUAGUUCACAUGUAGAAAGAGAACUAAUAACAUAAAUGGAUCAAGAUUUAACAUCUCAACAACGUGAAAAAGUGAAUUCAAGAAAAUGUAGGUUAAAAUAUUUACCGUACAAAGAUUUAGGGUUGAGGAAUCAUACUUGGAUGUAGCGUUUGAGGCAAUAAAUAAAGCUCCCAACAAGCGUUUUCGACUUGGAUCCCGAUCUGGCUGAUGUGGAUUGAAAUGCACUCUCUCAUUUUCGGCAAUGAAGAUUGAAGCUCAAAGCGAAAGGAAAAGAAAUGGGUUUUCUUUACACAACCAUCAAUAUUUUAUCCCUUUUUCAUAUAGUUAGGCGCGAGAAUAUUUGGAUCUUCAAACCUUUUUCCCAAUUUUCAGUAUUUUUUUUAAUUUUAAUUUUUUAUUUUUAUUUUAUAUUAUUAAAUAAAAGGAUAUUAUAUUUUAACGUCAACUCACGGGUGUCUAUUGGAGGUGGAGCAUUGUUGGGGUGUGACACUAUUGUGGUGUUCGUUUAACAUUUUCCAUAUAAUAUAUCAUAGAAUAAGGUUUGGUCCUAUUUUUGAAGAUUAAGUAAAGUAUUUCAUUUAAAGAAAAAUUCAAAACAAUUUGAGAUUUUUUUUUAUAUUAGAUAUAGUUACUACUUUCAUGAUCUGACUGACAUCUACAAAAUGAAUUUUAUUUUCGAUUCUACAAGUUCUAUGAAAGUUUUAUUUUUCCAGUAUGUAUAUUAAUUUUUAGUCUUAUUAUUCUUCUUCUCUUGAUCAAUUGAACAUUUUAUCAAAGUUAUGAUAGCUAAAUUAUGAUUUUAUUUUAUCUUUAACAAUUAUGAUAGCUAAAUCUUAUCACUUUUGUCAUUAUCAACAUUACAAUUAUCAUCACUAUUAUUAUUGUUGUUCUCAUCACCAUUACCAUAAUCGCAAUUACUACCAUAACCACACUCAUUAUCAUCAUUACAAGGGGUGUUCGUGGUGUGGUUUGAUGUAGUUUUGACUUAAAAUUAGUCUGAAUCAAAUAAAAAAAUUAAUUGUGGUGCGAUUUGGUCCAAUUUAGAUUAUUUAUGAAAUUUGAACCAAACCAAAACAAUCUUUUGAGUAUUAAAAAAUGCUUAAAAUGUUUGUUAUAAUUGGAUAAAACUUGAAUAAUAACUAGUUUAACAAUCAAUGAUAUAAAUGAUCAACUUAAAGUUUCAACUUGAAUAAUAAUCGUUCAACUUAAAUAAUAAAAUUAUUAAACUUAAAAGUAAAAACAGUACAUAAUACUUACUUUCAAGUUCUAACGACUAAACUUAAAAAAAAAUAAGUGUUAUCAUCGGAGAGAGUCGUUGCCGCAAACGCAGAAAAGGUCAUAGGGAGAGCGAUUUUAUGCUUUCAGUUUAGGGUUUCACGAGAAAGGAGAGAGGAGAGUGAGAGACUAAGUGUUAAGUGUUUUAGUAUUAAAUUUAGACUGAGUGUAAGUGUUGUCAUUUUACAUAAGCUUAAAGUUAUAUUGUCAUAUACAUAUAUGAUUAAUAUGAGUCCUAUAUUGAACUAAUAGUGUGGUUUGGUUUUCACAUGCCAAAUCGAAAACCAAACCAAAUUGCACAGUUUGGGAAAAAACAAAAAUAAACCAAACCAAUGCCCUUUGAUUUUUCUGCAUAUUGCAAUCUUUUGGGUUGAUUUUUGAUUUUAUGUUCCAUUUGAUUCAAUUUUGAACACUCUUAAUCAUUACUUCCACUAUCGUCAUUAUUCAUUAUCAUAAGUUGAUUAAUACUCAUUAUUACUAUUAUUAUUAUCAUGGCUAUACUAAUUGUUAUCCCUACAUCAUUAGAACAAUCAUCACCAUCACAUUAACUAUUAUUAUUAUUAUGAUUAUCAUAAUUGUCAACAUUACCACGGUUAACACAACUAUCUCUACUACUAAUAUUAUUAUUGUUCUUUCUAUCGUUACAAAUUUAUCACCUAUCCACCACUUCUUUGUUCCUACUGCCACCUCCAAGUUACAUCACUAAAUAAGUUUGAAUUAAGAAGUUUUGUAUGAUUUUUAUUUAAGAUUUAGUAUGAAAAUUUAAAUUUCAAAACCAUGAAAGUUUAAAUUAAAAAUAAUUCCAAGCAAAACUUAAUCUAGCUUUUUUUUUGAAAAAUUAGCAUAAUAAUAUAAGAGAAAAAUAGAUUAUACACUAAUAAUAUAAAUCUAGUCAUUUAAUUACAACUCAAAAGAUAUAAUAAAUUUAGUUUUAUGAUAAAGAGCAGCUUCCGCGCAUUUGCACCAUGCACAAAUCAUUAUAGCAACUAACAAUUUGUUGUGUUAGUAAAAAAAAGUAAAUGCAAAGAAAAAAAAUGUAAGAGAUUAAACUAAAGUAAAUAUAUGAUUAACAUGUGGGAGUUAAGAUGAAUACUGAAUGAUUUUAAUAUAAUUAUGAAUUACUUAAAAAAAUAAUAUUAAUAAUAAUUUAUAAUUAGAUAAUGGUAUAAAAUUAAGUAGAUGAUCAUUAAACUCAUCCUAUAACGAAUAUCUUUUUUUUUUUUUGUUGAUUUAUAACGGUUACCUCUGAUGAAUGAAACGUUGUGGUGAAGGAAAAUUUACUUGGGAACAAGAACAACCACCCCUUCCAUUGUGCCUUCUUAACAUAAGUAUUGAGUACGCGUCUACGACAACCAAGACUUAUGCACGUGAGGGACAUUAUUGUGCUUGCCAGGCAAGGAUCAUGGCCCAUCCACGGAUAUUGCUGUGGGCCUAAAAGCCAGCUCAGUUGAUUGACCUUGCUCCACAACCACACUAAAAAAAAUUCAAUUUUUUUUUUAUAAAAAAAUAAAAUAAUUACUUUUUAUGUUUUUGAAUAAAUUUGGCUCCUUUAUAAAUAUCACCUUUUUUCUUAUAGCUGUUACAUAGUGUGUUAAGCCUCGCCGACUCGGUUGCUAUCAGCGAGUGAGAGUGAGUGAGUGGUUCUCUUGCAGCAACAAGGUAAGAAAAAAAAAACUUCAGAUCUCACUCCUUUCUUUGUUUCCAUUUCGAUCCACACCAUGUGCUACCUAUUUUCCUCUCUGGGUUUUAAUCAUAUAUGUUUCAUGUGCUGUUUUCUAUUGUCUGAUGAUAAUGUUUCUAGUUAACUCAUGAUGUUUUUUUUUUUUUUUUUUUUUUUAAUUUCUGGGACUUUUUCUUUUCUUGCAUGCUUGUUGGUGUAUUUUCUUUUUUCAUUUUGGCUAAACAAUUAGUGGGGUUUGGCUUUUUUUACCCCUGAGGUUAGAUUUCUUUGUUUUUUAAAUAGUUUGGACUGACGGGUGUGAGUUGGAUUGUGAAUCUCGUUGUGGCGUGUUCCUGAUUGUGUUUUUUAUGCUUGAGUGGCUUAAAGAUUUAUUUUUUAGCUUUGAUUUGUUGAUGGGUCACUUGUUCUGAGAUUUAGCAUCUGAUCUCACUGGUUUUCUUAUUCCAUUCUGUGCCUUUUAAGUGUUGAGUCCAUGCACUUUGGGAAUAGCUAGAUCAGAAGUGCCUGGCCCUGGAAUGGUUUUGUGUUUGCUUGAUCUGUGAAGAAAGAAGUGUAUAAUGAUGGAACUAAAAGGGAUGCAAUCAGAUGAAAUUUUUUAUUGCAUUGUAGGAUAGGAGAAAUGGGGCUGAGUGCCCUUUUCAUCUGAUCUUCCUCAGAAAUUUUAUCCUCUUGAAGAGAUAUGUGCAGAUUAAGGAAAAGGAAAAGGAAAAGGGGAUUUAUGUUUAUGUGUCAAAAUAAAAUGGCUAUAUAGUUUCAAAAUUUCCUGCAAAUUACCUUUUCAAUCAUUUUGAUGACUACUAAAUGCUUGGAUUUAAAUUUUUUGCCUAUCCUCAAGCUUUUCAUUUUUCCCUAUUCAUUUCAUUUUUGACAGCUGCAUUUUUCGAUUCUGCACACUGAUAAGCUUACCCGUGAAUGUAAUUGAAAGAUGAAAGAUGGAGACUGUAUGUGAUUGAAACUUUAUGAAUGUUGGUUAUAUAGUUUCAAAAUUUCCUGCAAAUUACCUUUUCAAUCAUUUUGAUGACCACUAAAUGCAUGGAUUUAAAAUUUUGCCUAUCCUCAAGCUUUUCAUUUUUGACAGCUGCAUUUUUCGUUUAUGCACACUGAUAAGCUUACCCGUGAAUGUAAUUGAAAGAUGAAAGAUGGAGACUGUAUGUGAUUGAAACUUUAUGAAUGCUCUUUUAUUAAUGUAAAAUAAUCAUCUGUGUGCAAUAAAAACUAAUAAACUUAUUACUUUGGGGUGCUUGGUAUAUAAUUGUUUCUUUUUUGUUGAGUUCUGAUAGCUCAUGGUUCUGUCUGCUGAUGCUAUUGGUUUGUUAUUUUCCAUGAAUGUUGGUUGUUGAAUUCCUUGUGGCAAAAAAAAUGUUAUGCUGCUAUAUAGGUUUAGUGACACCAAACAGACUGGAAAUGGGUCGUGGGGUCAGUGCUGGUGGUGGACAGAGUUCCUUGGAUUAUCUCUUUGGCAGUGGGGUACCUGCCAGCAGUGCAAAUGGUGCUCGCACUCAAAAUGCAAGUGCUCCUUCACCACCGGUUGAUAAGCAAAGUCCAGCACCAGCAGCAGCAGCAGCACCUGCACCUGCAGCAGCAGCAGCACCAGCACCUGCACCAGCACCAGCACCAGCACCAGCUGAUAAGCAAAUUCCAGCUGGAAUUCCUGGAAGUCUCAAAAACAAUUACCAUCGCGCUGAUGGGCAAAACUGUGGCAACUUUCUCACUGUACUGCCCUUCUCAACUUAUCUAUUAUGAUUAUUUUAAUUUUAAUUGUAUUAUGUAAUUAGCUCUUGCUAUUUUCUGCAUAUCUGCUCUAAAUAUACUUGUUUGUUUCAACUUACAUUAGCCUAGGAAAUACUAGAAAGCUUAAUAGUAAAGUAGACGAGGAUUGGAGUCUCCUCCUCUUGCUUACCAUUUCCUAGUAAUAGUUCAGUAAAAAGUAAUGAAGUUGCAAAGUUAGUUUUCACAAGGAUCCUAUUUCAGUAAAACAGUGUUUUGAAUUGCAAUAGUGCUACAGAAAGGAAACCAUGUAUAAAUUACUUAGAAUAAUUCAGAUUUCUAUUAGCAUAAAGCUAUAGUGAAAAAUUCAAAACUUUAAUGUAAGAAUAAUUCAGAUUUCUUGGCUCAGCUACUUAAGCAUGGUUCCUUGCUCUGUUGGUAGGAAGGAAACCAUGUAUAAAUUACUUAAGCAGGGAGUAACAGGAAUUCUGUCUCCUGUUCUUGCAUAUCCAUAAGAUAUAAUAUGCACUUUAUGCAUGUUUUCUUUAUUUUCUUGUUUAUCUUGUGUGGAUUCUGAGUACUUUCUUGGGUUUUGUCUGACA
rnacentral:lncRNA from 1 species